rnacentral:lncRNA from 1 species
CCACCGCGGCACAUCCUCUCCAGGUCACCGGAUCUGGCGGAGAUCCCUUCCCUUCAUAUCUAUACAUCCCCACCCCCCUUAGGAUGCCGGUGUCUCGUCGAGAAAACCUUGACUGCUUUAGGCCUCCAUGCAAUCAAGGGAGCACAUGUGAACAGCCUAGAAAAGAAAUCUGGAGGCAAGAAUAGUUGUAAGUUCUCCCACGGCUGCUCUUCUAUUUUUUUACUUGAUUUGCUUGUUCUCUCUCUGCAAUUUGAAUGUGCUAGACGAUUGAUCUGAUGCAGUUAUUAGAGCAAGCCUGUUAUAGUUUGGCACUGUUGAUUGUCUCCAUUAUCCGCUGAAUUAAUAGAAGUACACAAUUGACAAUGUUUUAAUGACAAUUUGUAACUAUGUGGAUAUUAAAUUUGUUCCAUUUUUACGCACUUCUUUUGCAUGAUUUAGUUAUCUCUUUCCUAGACUGAUAUGUAAACAUUAGAAUUUGGAAUGAUAUGUGCCAUUCUGCAGGUUAUCAGACAUGUUCACUAAAAUCUUUCAUUGUCUUUUCUUAUUGUUGUUGCAUGUCUCUAUCCUAUUAUGGUUGCCAGAUUCUGUGUAAUCUUUCUCUCUACUUUUACUUCCUGAUUCUCUAGAUGUAUAUUAGAAUGAUAGCUGAGAACAUGUCUGAUCUUCAGAAGCAAGACAAGUCAGAAGAUGAUAGCCCAGUGUUUUUCCCUUUGUUUUCCUACAUAUCAUCCAAUUAAUGAAUUAUUUGGUAGGUCUUCAUUUUACUUGCAAGAUAGUUAAGACCAGAAUACUGAUUGUAAAUAGAGCAGAUUAUUUUAAUGAAUUAUUUUGCUGUAGAUAUCUGCAGUGGUAUCCUUUGCUAUGUUCGUAUAGGCAGAACCAAAGAAACAAACUUAACAACCUCUAAUUAGUGUAACAUUAAUACCGACGUUUAUCAAAUUUGAAUAUAAGAAAUGGCGCGUAAGGAUACAUGGAGCAGAUUUUUGCAAGAUUCUACGCCCGUUGCAAUGCACGGGCAUUUGUACUAGUAUAUAUUAAAAAAAAGCUUAGGCACUCCAUGACGGAGUGCUAUUUAGCAAGUCAAGCAGUUUUGUGCGAUCAGGGGUGAUGAGGCCCGAGAGCAGCUUUUCCUUUUUUCCUUUUUGAGCGGUGGCACUAACAAAGUACUAAAACGGUACUACGUUUUUUUUGUUUCCGACAACUCCUCGACCAAAAGUGUGCACCUCUUGUCUAGGGCAAACGAAAAGCCCAACACUGGGACGUCUGAAUUGGGCUCGAUGGGAGGCAAACCCUAUUUUUCGUCUGAGCUGGGCUCGGCCCAUUUCGUUCGCAUCUCUUUCGCUCGCGUAUUCAUCAAAGCGCAAAAAUUCCGCGAGAGCAAAAAUUCCGCUAGAGGUGAGAAUCGAACCAAGGAUUCCUGGUUCAGAGCGCACUGUGGUAACCACCCUGCCAAAGGACCUUACCGCAAUAAAUUAAAUCUCCUUUUCACCUUAUCAUCUUCUCUUUCGUUUUUCUCCGUUUUUUUUCCAUUUUUUCUUGUUUUCUGUUUUAUUUUUCCUUCUUCCUCGUUCCAUGAUUUUUUCAAAUACAUCCACGUUUUCUUAAAUUUACGAACUAUUUUUCUAAUUCAAUGAAAUUUUUUCACAUUUGAUAAACUUUUUUUUCAAUUCGAUGAGCUUUUUCCAAAUCCGAUGGACUUUUUUAAAAUUUGAUGAACUUUUUGUCAAGAUUGAUGAAUAUUUCCUUUAAAUUUGUGAAUUUUUUCCGAAUCGAUGAACUAUUUUUUCAAACUCGAUGAACUUUUUUCAAAACCGAUAUUUUUUUUCAACCGACGAACAUUUUUUUUAAUGAUGAACUCUUUCUUCAAAAUGAUAAAAAUUUUAAAAAAAAAAUCCAAAAUCGAUGAACUUUUUUUAAGUUUGUGAAAUUUUGUCUCAAAAUCGAUGAACUUUUUAAAAUUCAUGAUUUUAUACAAGUAAAUAAAAAUGAUAAAUAAAUAGCGCGGCUAUACUACUUCAUGCAUAGUUAGCGCAAUUAAAAUCACAAGUGUCCAAUCAAUGUGGUUGUCAGCUAUGCUCGAAGAAGCCUUGCCUGCGCGAGCGAUGCGAGUUCGAUUCCUGAAGCAGCGACAUUUUUGCGUUUUUCUGGUGAUUUCUGUUCGCUGCCUUUCCCAUCGCGGGUUAGCCCAAAAAGGCGCUGCAGCGGGCGCCGAAGAGGAGCUCGCUGAUGGGAGCUCCUAUUUCGUGUGCAUGCAUUUUGCCAGCCCUGUUUUCUUUUCGUUAAAUUUCUAUUUUCUGUUUUUUCUUUUAUAUAAUUUUUUUGGGGUUUAAAAAUAAUUCGGCAUUUCAAAUAUGGUUGGGAUCUCAAAAAUAAAUAAAUAAUGUGAAUGAGUUUGAAAAAUUGUUCUUGNNNNNNNNNNNNNNNNNNNNNNNNNNNNNNNNNNNNNNNNNNNNNNNNNNNNNNNNNNNNNNNNNNNNNNNNNNNNNNNNNNNNNNNNNNNNNNNNNNNNNNNNNNNNNNNNNNNNNNNNNNNNNNNNNNNNNNNNNNNNNNNNNNNNNNNNNNNNNNNNNNNNNNNNNNNNNNNNNNNNNNNNNNNNNNNNNNNNNNNNNNNNNNNNNNNNNNNNNNNNNNNNNNNNNNNNNNNNNNNNNNNNNNNNNNNNNNNNNNNNNNNNNNNNNNNNNNNNNNNNNNNNNNNNNNNNNNNNNNNNNNNNNNNNNNNNNNNNNNNNNNNNNNNNNNNNNNNNNNNNNNNNNNNNNNNNNNNNNNNNNNNNNNNNNNNNNNNNNNNNNNNNNNNNNNNNNNNNNNNNNAAUAUAUGUUAACAAUUUUAGAAAAGUUUCACGAAUUAGUAUGAAAUGCCCUUAAAUUUGAAAUAUGUUCACGGGUACAUAAAAAUGUUCAUGAAUUUGAAAAGUUCAUUAUUUUGAAAAAUGUUCACAAAAUUUUGAAAAUGUGUAGUGUUGAACUUUUUAAUGCAUUUAUCCAAUAUGUAAUAGAAUAAUUUAAUGCAUGUUGAACUAUUUUUAAAUACACAUUGCCAAUUUUUUAAUGCAAGAAUAACAUUUUCCAAAAACACGUUAUAAUUUUUUAAUACAUGUGUAAGAUUUUCCAAAAACAUGUUGAACAUUUUUUAAAUGUACUAACGCUUUCUAUAAUUUUAUGGAAAUUGUAAUUUUCUCUUACAUUUCUUUUUAUGAAUGGUAAAAAUAAUAUGAACAUAAAAAUAAAGAACUUGAAAAAAUAGAAAUAAAACUUGUGCGGGUCCAUAGAAGCGCCAUAUAUAAAAAGAAUUGCAUGAAGAUGUACAUAGCAACCAAAGUGGAUUUUUGGAGCACGGUGGCCACGAAGCACGUUUCUAAAACCAGCACUUAAAAGUUUCAAAAGGAGUUGAUUGUUUUCACACAAAAACGUAUGCAUUUGCUCUAAGUGACUUUCAAAUUUUGCUCAAUAUUACUUAUCUUUUUAUCUCUCACAUAAAAGCUUAGAUUUUGAUUAAAAAAACCUGAAUGUGUUACACUUCUAUGUGUGCAUGUACAAAAAAAUUAGAAAUAUUUUAGCUGUAAAAAUCCGUUUCUUUGAACUUUGAAAAAAAACACAAUAUGCCCGUGCUCCAAAGUUACUAUUUGCAUAUCAAUGCAAUAUAUAGAGUUCGACCUCUUCAAUAUGAAUUGAGCAUAGUAUGGCACGGUGGAGAACCUCUGUCUGCAAUGCAGUUGGUGAUCACGAGGGCUCCUGCAUCACGCAUUUUCUCCUACGUGAUUAAAUAAAAUAUGAGGGUGUUUUGUACAAAAAAAUUCCUGACACUCGGGCCACCCAGCGCCUUCCGAGCUUUGAGCCACUCAUGCCACGGAUACGGAUGGAGGCACCGGAUUUGCACGUCCGAAUAAGUUCACAUGUUGUGUUCUUGCAAUAGCAAUUACUACUAUAUAUUGCAGUUCAAUUUUUUGUAACCUAUCGUGUAUAUCUUCUGAACUCGGAAAAAAACCAUGUCGGAGUGGUGUGGGCAUGUCAAGUUUUUCACUCAGGGCACAUUGACACCUGAGAGCCGCCUGCAUGGCAAGUUGUACUACGAUCAUGGCGUCAGACCCUGAGAUCUACUUGCAUGCCUAUUAACCAAUUAGACUGCUGGUUGUUGUUUUUUGAGAUAGCUUACCAGGCUUGCUGCCUGGUGACCACCACGUCACGAAACAUGCAUAUAAACUGCGGCCAUCUCCUCUCCGUAAGCGAUGUGGGCCUAAUAAAAACCGUACUGUAUUGUAAUAUCAUAUCGACAGCAUCAACCGUACUGUAUUGUAUAGUAAUAUCAUAUCAACAUCACACGUGUGCGCCUUGAUACGGCCCAAACGAAACGAAAAGCCCAGUGCCAUAAUAAUCGUGUGAACCACCGGCCGUCAGCCCAGCUCGUGGACUGACAUCGUUCUCGUGUUGAUUUGCUAGGUAUCUUCUCGGGGUCUCCGUGGUGGCGUUCGUCUACUCUGUGGCCACCUUUCUUGAUUUUGCCGGCGAUCGGGUGAAGUGCAGAGAACCUUACUAUGACCAUUUUUGAUGCAGCUAGGGAGCUGUGCGGUGACUAGCUGGCAGCUUAAGUUUACUUAGCCGAGUAUGUACGCAUGUGUGUGUGCACUGUGCAGUUCUAACAAUCACGUACUAACUGCCUUGUGAUCUGCUUAGCUAGCCAAUCCAGCGAGCACAAAAAAGAUAGGGGAAAAAAAGAACAAAGUUCAGAGUUGCUCGUGGCAUCUGAAGAUAGGAUCACUCACGUAUAGCUAUGAGACGUACGCGCUAGCCAACUGCGCCACCACCCCAAUGUUGUUUGCUACCUAAUGACAGCCUUACAAAGGCUUGCUUAUUCGAUGGUGCUUGAAACCCCGGUUACUUACAUGCCAAGACUGGAUGGGUACAAGUUGAUAAAUUCAAUCUGCAGAAGUGGGCGAUGCUAUAUGAAAUUCAUCUUGGAGAAAAGGUGCAAGCAAACAUAUUCUUCUUGAUGCUUCUUUCUUACAUAGAGAAGAAUAUGGACAUAGAUGUACACAACCCUUGAUGGGUUCCACUGCCUCAUGUUGGCGGCGCCGCCGGUCCGGCUCGUCUCCGGUGGCCUUAGAGGUAUGGUGGCGCGAUGGAUCCCGGUCCUUGACGGCGGGAGGGCUCUAUUUGUAGAUAUUUCUUCGUAUUUUGUUAGGGUUUGUGUCCUGCUCAGGAAGACAAGACAACGAGGCUUCUCUGAAGAUGAAACAAUGUUCUCCCUGCCUAGCCCCUGUCCCAGUGGAGCGUUUAGCAUCGUUGGUGGAUAUGUGGAGGUGUGUCUCCGACUGAUUUGAAUUUGCUUGAAUCUAGUCAUAGUUCGUCUACGUUCGCGUGUCUUGAGGUUCGAUCCUUCCAAUCUAUUCUUCAACAGCGACGGUUGCUAUUCUGGGCGCUGGUCAUAUGGGGGCUUAGCAUGACGACUUCCCGACUGUCUACUACAACAACUAUUGUCCAGCUCUGGCAAGGGAGGGGCGAUGACAGCAGCACGCUUUAGGCUCGCUUCAAUGCUUGUAGUCGUCGCUAGGUGGUUUACGGAUCUGGAUGUAAUUUUUUUUAUUUUUUAUGUUUGCUGUACUGCCAUGAUUGAAGAUGUAUAGAUAAAAAAAUCCAAAAAAAAGAUGUACAUUACUCUAGGUAAGGGCAUCUCCAGCGCAGACCCCCAAACAUCGAAUUUGUCCGUGGACCGGUGGAGAGGGGGACCAAUACGCGGAAACUGAUGUGGGACCAAAGGAGACGAAUUACAUGCAAACCAGAUAAUUUUCAUCUAAACCAGACGAAAUCAUUUAUAUUUCAGACAUAUUUGAACUAAAAUAUAGCUGACUAGGCUAGCCUAUUCCAACCUAUUCUACGACCGGCCUUCUCGACGCCCGUUUCCCACCCCAUAUCUUCCCUAUGUCCAGCAACAAGCUUACAGGAACGCCGUGAGCCCUAGAGAAUAUGCUUCGGCAGGAGGGGAAGAAUAACAUCCGCCUCCAUGAAGCCCAAAUCAGUGGUUGGUUUUAGAACGGUGGAAGACGGUGAUGGUGGCCUAUGCCUUCACGAACUGGGCAAGACGCCGGCUAUGUGGCCCGGCGCAACGGCGUGGUGGCCUUUUUGGGACCCGAGCGGGGCGGUGGCCGCCUUUGGUCUACUCAUCCUCGCUGCCAGUGGUGCCCACGGAUGUGCCGGCUUCAUCAUCAUGGCAGCUGGGCGCGACCGACACGGAGCUAGCAGUGUCGUCCGUGCCGUCGUAAACUUGCGUCACCGCCUCGUCGAUCUCCGCAUAGGCGGCUUCUUUCUCUGCCCGCAAGAUGCGAUGCCGCAUUUGCUCGUGGUGGAUUUCGCGGGUGGCGCAGUAGGACAUGAGCAAAGCGUCCUGCUCGUGCACGUCCACGUCCACCAUGAUGACUACGUCAUCGACUUGCACCUCUAUGUGCCAUUGCUUGUCCGCCACGAUGCCCUUGUCGUCCUCUCGUGCCUCGCCCAUGGUGAUGCCGGCUGGACCAGCGAUGGGGGUGGCAUCGGCUUUUCCUCCGUUGGCUCGUGAGCGUCGCAGCCAUCCAGAGAGCUCGCUGGAAAGCGAGCAUGUAUCCGGCUAGCUCAACAGGCCAGCCAUCUAGCUGCAAUACCCGAGAGCUCCUUAUUCUGCUCGCCAGUGAUGUCGUGUCACGGGGCUUCAGAGCUCGAGGCCAUGGCGGGUGCACAUAGGAGAUGGAGAGCGGAGCUGUGGUGCAGCUUUUGCCCAAAGCCUGGCCAGUGGCCACGUUUAAAUAGCGGGCAGAUGCCAUGUCGCUCGGGGCGUCGGAGUAGGUUUCUCGGCUGGCACUCCAGUUUAAUGGAGGAAGGUAAGGACCGGAUAUGUUGCUUCAAUGCGGAGAGAAGGCGAAUGCAGCGGGCGACGAUGUCGGUUGGUGUGCCGCUUCACUGCCGGCUCUAGAGAGGUUGCGUCCGCUUUGGGCAGGCAUGAAUGCGGCGCUGAUUGCUACGGGCGAGAAAGCGCGCGGCGAGGGAGAGUGUUUUGGGUGGCCAAUUUGUCAGAGGCGUGGAUGGGAGCGGUCCGGACUCCCUCAAACCCCUCUCCCCUCGGGUUUGCGGAAAAAAUGAUGUCCACACUGGCAACGAACGGAUAUAUGACCCCGUUGGAUGGCAAAACAUGUUUCGAUCGCACGGUCUGAACGUGUGCGGUCUGAGGGUCUGCGUUGGAGAUGUCCUAAUGUGCAUAUUUACAAGUGUGUUUGUCGUCAUUUUUAUGAUCUCUGUUGCUUUUUACUGUGAUUUUUCUUUUCUUUUUUUGCACGAGAUUUUUACUGUGAUAAGUAGAGCCUACUUCUAGCAGUAGGCAGCAAGGAAGAAAGCUAGGAGGUCAAUAUGUGAUGUUCAUUGAGACGUAGCCAAAGAGCCGCAAGCAUAUCAUACUUUGACACAUGUAUUCACAAACACAAUGAAUCGUUGACAGAUGUUGCUAUCCAUCGGGUUGAGUGGAGCUGAAUCACCGUCUAGUUCAUUUCACUAGAGUAGCAAAAUCUCUAACAUUUUGAUUUCCCUUUCAAGAUAACAAUCCUGUAUGUAUACAUCUUUUGACAGUCGAAAUAUAUAUUAAAAAAAAAAAGCUUAGGCAUUCCAUGACAGAGUGCUAUUUAGCAAGUCAAGCGGUUUUGUGUGAUCAGGGUUGAUGAGGCCUGAGAGCGGCUUGGCUACCAAUCCUAUUCUAUCGGGCUCAUCAUACCCUGAGAACUGCUCGCAAGCUUACAGAUACGUCAAUUAUCCAUGAUGCUUUUAUAAUAGCUUAUCAGGCUUCCUGCCUGGUGAACACCUAGUCACGACAUUGUAACGUUCGAUAGCACACAGGUGUUCCUCCAAUAUUUAGGAGUUGCAUAAUUUCAUAGUCAGAGGAAUAUGUAUAAGUCAUGAAGAAAGCAAUAGCAAUAAAACUAAACGAUCAUAAUGCUAAGCUAAUGGACGGGUCUUUUCCAUCACAUCAUUCUCUAAUGAUGUGAUCCCGUUUAUCAAAUGACAACACAUGUCUAUGGUCAGGAAACUUAACCAUCUUUGAUUAACGAACUAGUCAAGUAGAGGCAUACUAGGGACACUCUGUUUGUCUAUGUAUUCACACAUGUAUCAAGUUUCCGGUUAAUAUAAUUAUAGCAUGAAUAAUAAACAUUUAUCAUGAUAUAAGGAAAUAUAAAAUAAUAAUUUUAUUAUUGCCUCUAGGGCAUAUUUCCUUCACCUGCUUCACCCUGCCUAUGGAGGGAAGGAGACGGCGAGGUAAUCGGAAACAAAGAAAAAUGGAUAAGUGAAGUUGGACAUCAAGACAUCAGUACGUACAUAUGUGCUACCUUCUGUUGAUGUUCUUCCUCCUCUGUUUCUAUGCUAGGGGAAUUGCGACAUGUGAGCAGUUGGCACUGCCUUGGCCCAGGCUUGGGCUCACGGGAGGCGGGCAACGCCUACGCUAGCUACGAAAGCUCAUGUCCUGCCGCUGGGCAUGGCCACGAUCACCGGCUGCGGACCUCACCUCCGGGAAUUCUCUCUCGUGGAAGCUCAAAGUCAGAAGAAUCAUGGUCGCUUAGUGACUGCUACAAAGAGAUAGAAUUUUCAGUAAAUUAAGAAAAACAAAAAUUAAGCCAACUAAGUGUUGGGACCUACGAGGACAAGUGUCAGCCACCGGUUGGCCCUGCAGCAUAGUGCGUGCAGGGCUCCCAGCAGGAGAGCCCGACCCCUUGCUAUUUAGCAUGCGAAGGGAACUGAACCCAAGGAAUUGGAACGAACGGCUCUUAGAGAUAUUUUUUUUCUGAAACUCGAAAUAUAUAUAAGAAAAAACUUAGGCAAUCCUGUAUAUAUACAUCUUCUGACAGUCGAAAUGUAUAUUAAAAAAAAGCUUAGGCACUCCAUGACGGAGUGCUAUUUAGCAGGUCAAGCAGUUUUGUGGCUGCCUAAUCCUAUUCUAUCGGACUCAUCAUACCCUGAGAACUGCCCGCAAGCUUGCAGAUACGCCAAUUAUCCAUGAUGCUUUUUCAUAGCUUACCAGGCUUGCUGCGUGGUGAACACCUAAUCACGACGCGUGCAUAUAAACAGCUUCCGUCGGCUCUCCCUAAGCGAUGUGGCACUAAACCACUUUUUUCCUUUUUGAGCGGUGGCACUAACAAAGCCCAACACUGGGACGUCUGAAUUGGGCUCGACGGGAGACAAACCGUAUUUUUCGUCUGAGCUGGGCUCGGCCCAUUUCGCUCGCGUAUUCAUCAAAGCGCAAAAAUUCCGCGAGAGGUGAGAAUCGAACCAAGGAUUCCUGGUUCAGGGCGCACUGUGGUAACCACCCUGCCACAGGAACUUGAUGCGAUAAGUUCAAUCACCUUUUCACCUUAUCAUCUUUCCUUUCGUUUUUCUCUGUUUUAGGUUUUUCAUUUUUUCUGUUUUCUGUUUUUUUCUAUUUUUUUCCUUCAUCGUUCCAUGUUUUUUUAAAUACAUCCACGUUUUCUUAAAUUGACGAAAAAAAAUCUAAUUCAAUAAAAAAUUCACAUUUGAUAAACUUUUUUAAAUUUGAUGAGCUUUUUCCAAAUCUGAUGAACUUUUUGUCAAGAUUGAUGAAUUUUUCCUUUAAAUUUGUGAACUUUUUUCCAAAUCUAUGAACUAUUUUUUCAAACUCGACGAACUUUUUGUCAAAAACGAUAUUUUUUUUAAAACCGAUGAACAUUUUUCUGAAAAUGAUGAACUCUUUCUUCAAAAUGAUGAACUUUUUAAACUUUUUUCCAAAAUCGGUGAACUAUUUCUCAAAAUCGAUGAACUUUUUUUAAGUUGGUGAAAUUUUGUCUCAAAAUCGAUGAACUUUUUUAAAUUCAUGAUUUUAUCAAAGUAAAUAGAAAUAAAUGAUAAAUAAAUAGCGCGGCCAUACUACUUCAGGCAUAGUUAGCGCAAUUAAAAUCACAGGUGUCCAAUCAUUGCAGUAGUCAGCUAAGCUCAAAGAAGCCUUGCCUUUGCGAGCGAUGCGAGUUCGAUUCCUGAAGCAGCCACCUUUUGCGUUUUUCUGGCAAUUUCUGUUAGCUGCCUUUCCCGUCGCGGGCUAGCCCAACAAGGCGCUGCAGCGGGCACCAGGAACCUGUUCGGGCGCUUAAGGCGCCGAACAGGAGCUCCUAUUUCGCGCGUGCUUUUGGCCAGCCCAUAAGGGCGCGGUGCCCCUGUUUUCUUUUCGUUAAUUUUUUAUUUUCUUUUUUUCUUCUAUAUAAAUUUUUUUGAGGUUUAAAAACAGUUCCGCACUUCAAAUAUGAUUGGGAUUUAAAAAAUAAAGAAAUAAUGUGAAUGAGUUUGAAAAAUUGUUCUUGAAUUCAAAAAAAAUGUUCAUAUAAUUUACAAAAGAGCAUGAAUUUAAUAAAAAAUCGCAAAUUUAAUAUAUGUUAACAAUUUCAGAAAUUGUUCUCGAAUUUGAAAGAUGUCCACGGGUACAUAAAAAUGUUCAUGAAUUUGAAAAGUUCAUUAUUUUGAAAAAUGUUCACAAAAUUUGGAAAAAAUAUGUUUGAAAAAUAGAAACUAAAAAAGAAAAAAAGAAAGGACUGAACGAAAAUGAAAAAAGUGAAAAAAACACAAAAAGAAGAGAAAACACGGUCUGGGAAGGUAUAGAACCUUCCCAAGAACCGGGAAAAAGCUAAUUGGGCUGGCUCAAAAAUGUACACGCGGGGAGCUAGGGGUGCGCGCAUGGUCGCUAACCAGUGACUCGUGCGCCAAAUAGCAUUGGUCCAAGCAUGAAAACGGAGCAGUAAACAGAGCACGGACCUCUCAAAACAAAAAAUAUUGAUAAGAUACAAUCGUUCAUGCCAAUUCAGCAAUAAAGCAGGGGAUUCGUUAAGCCAACAUGCGGUGCUAUCCCCACGACGACCAUAAUCCACUAAGAAGCGUGCAACUCGAUUUUGUUCACGAGAAAUCAUAAAAGGAUUAAAUACCCUAUUCUCCAGCAAGCCCUUCAUCACAGCAAUAACUAGAUGAUACCACGUGUGUUGCUGCAGGAAAUAUUGCCUAAAAUUGGUAUUUUACCCAUCAAUUGACUCUCCUAAAAAGAUAGAUAAAACGAAGAAUAAAUGAUUCUUAUUUGAGCAUACUUUAGGAUAAUACAUAGGUAACUAAGAUCAAACCUCCAACUUAUAUCAUUGAAAGCUUGGACGGGGGAGGCUAGUAUAUGAUCUCACAUUAGGUGAGAUCAAUGAGAUCAAUUACAAAAAUUUAUAUUUAGACAUUUCAAAAAGUUCUGAAAUUAUUUGACAACAUAUCUACGGGGUGUGUCGAUAACUCUGGAAAGAAACAGCUCAAAAAUUGAUGUACAGUUAGAGAAUUAAAAAAGACAAAUUCGAAUGUGAAUAGUGGAGCUUUGGGUGAACAGUAUUUUGACAUUAUUCACAUCCGAUUUCUCUUUUUUGUUUCUAUUAGUGUAGGUCAAAUUAGGAGCUAAAACUUUUUUUAGAUUGUACAUCAAACAUUGAUGUGUGUCUACAAUUCAUAAGCCCGGAUGCCGCAAGCGCGUUUCGCAGCUACCGCGGCCUCUUCCAUGUGUGGGGUCACUUCAAUGACCUCAUCCACGCGUGCAGCCAUGACAGUUGUGCCCUCUUCCUCGCAUUCAUUUACCAGAGAGUAGUCCCAUCAUAGUGAAAAGCUUGUCAUUAUGUAUGGUCCACUGUUCAUUCGAGAUAGGGAGAAGAUCACCAAUCUGAACUACAUCUACAACAGCAAUGAUGUAGAGGUUGUGAACAUGCUUCAAAUGUGAAGAGCAUCAUUUUCCAUGCUUGUGAAUACCUUUGGAGCACGGGGCUACCCGAAGAUAGCAUCCACACCACUGUGGAAGAGCAAGUUGCCAUGUUCCUUCAUGUCGUCGAUCAUAAUCAAAGGUUCAUGAUUAUUCACAACACAUAAAAGAGAUCUAGUGAAACAAUUUCCCGACAUUUCAAGCAAGUCUUUAUGAUAUUAGGGAGUUCGGAGGAGAGAUGAUCAAGGCACCAAUCGGGCAAACUUCGCACAAGAUUCACACUAGCACAAGAUGGUAUCAGUAUUUCAAGGUGAGCAUUACUCGUAUUUCAUGCCAUAACAUGCUUGCAAUGUUGUCAUCAACCAUAAUAAUACGUUUUCAUGCCAUCAUAGGAUUGUAUUGGCGCCAUAGAUGGUACUCACAUCACUGAUAGAGUGCCGAGGACACAAGAUGCAACAUACAUGGGUAGAAAGCACUACAUAAGCGAGGCUUGUUGCUCUUGACUUCGAUCUAAAGUUCACAUAUGUGUUGACUGGUUGGGAAGGAUGAGCCCAUGAUGCUAACAUUCUUGCUGACAGCAUGGCAAUGCCUGAUGGCAUCUAUAUCCCCGAUUGCAAGUUAUACCUAGGAGAUGCUUGUUGGGGAACGUAGUACUUCAAAAAAAUUGCCUACGAUCACGCAAGAUCUAUCUAGGAGAAGCAUAACAACGAGCGGGGAGAGUGUGUCCACAUACCCUCAUAGACCGAAAGCGGAAGCGUUUAGUAAUGUGGUUGAUGUAGUCGAACGUCUUCGCGAUCCAACUGAUCCAAGUACCGAACGCAUGGCACCUCCACGUUCUGCACACGUUCAGCUCGGUGACGUCCCUCGAACUCUUGAUCCAGUUGAGGCCGAGGGAGAGUUUCAUCAUCACGACGGCGUGGUGACGGUGAUGAUGAAGUUACCGGCGCAGGGCUUCGCCUAAGCACUACGACGAUAUGACCGAGGCGUGAAACUGUGGAGGGGGGCACCGCACCCGGCUAAAAGACCAACUUGUGUGUUCUAGGGUGCCCCCCUCCCCACGUAUAUAAAGGAGGGAGGGGGAGGCCGGCCGGUCCUAGGGGGCGCGCCUAAGGAGGGGAGUCCUGAAGGAAAUAUGCCCUAGAGGCAAUAAUAAAGUUGUUAUUUAUAUUUCCUUAUAUCAUGAUAAAUGUUUAUUAUUCAUGCUAGAAUUGUAUUAACCGGAAACUUAGUACAUGUGUGAAUACAUAGACAAACAGAGUGUCCCUAGUAUGCCUCUACUAGACUAGCUCGUUAAUCAAAGAUGGUUAAGUUUCCUAGCCAUAGACAUAUGUUGUCAUUUGAUGAACGGGAUCACAUGAUUAGAGAAUGGUGUGAUGGAUAAGACCCAUCCGUUAGCUUAGCAUAAUGAUCAUUUAGUUUAUUGCUAUUGCUUUCUUCAUGACUUAUACAUGUUCCUAUGACUAUGAAAUUAUGCAACUCCCGAAUACCGGAGGAACACUUAGUGUGCUAUCAAACGUCACAACGUAACUGGGUGAUUAUAAAGAUGCUCUACAUGUGUCCCCGAUGGUGUUUGUUGAGUUGGCAUAGAUCGAGAUUAGGAUUUUUCACUCCGAUUGUCGGAGAGGUAUCUCUAGGCCCUCUCGGUAAUGCACAUCACUAUAAGCCUUGCAAGCAAUGUGACUAAUGAGUUAGUUGCGGGAUGAUGCAUUACGGAACGAGUAAAGAGACUUGCCAGUAACGAGAUUGAACCAGGUAUGAUGAUACCGACGAUCGAAUCUCGGGCAAGUAACAUACCGAUGACAAAGGGAACAACGUAUGUUGUUGUGCGGUUUGACCGAUAAAGAUCUUCGUACAAUAUGUAGGUACCAACAUGAGAAUCCAGGUUCCGCUAUUGGUUAUUGACCGAAGAUGAGUCUCGGUCAUGUCUACAUAGUUCUCGAACCCGUAGGGUCCGCACGCUUAACGUUCGAUGACGAUAUGUAUUAUGAGUUUUGUGAUUUGAUGUAUCGAAGGUAGUUCGGAGUCCCGGAUGUGAUCACGGACAUGACGAGGAGUUUCAAAAUGGUCGAUACAUAAAGAAUGAUAUAUUGGACGAUGUUAUUCGGACACCGAAUGAGUUCCGGGGGUCAUGGGAUAAAUAUCGGAGUGUCGGAAGGGUUAUCGGAUCCACCGGAGAAGUAAUGGGCCUUAUUGGGCCAAGGGGAGAGAGACAGGGGCAGCCAAGGGCUGGCCGCGCGCCCCCCAUGGGCCUAGUCCGAAUUGGACUAGGGGAAGGGGCGGCGCCCCCUCCUUCCUUCUCUUUCCCCUCUCCUUCCUUCUUCUCCUAGUUGGACUAGGAAAGGGGGGAUCCAACUCCUACUUGGAGUAGGAUUUCCCCCCUUGGGCGCGCCCUAUGAGGGUCGGCCGGCCUCCCCUUUGCUCCUUUAUAUACGGGGGCAGGGGGCACCCCAGAGACACAAGUUGAUUUUUAGCCGUGUGCGGUGCCCCCCUCCACAGAUUUCCACCUCUGUCAUAUUGUCGUAGUGCUUAGGCGAAGCCCUGCAUCGGUAACUUCAUCAUCACCGUCACCACGCCAUCGUGCUGACAAAACUCUUCCUCGGCCUCAACUGGAUCUAGAGUUCGAGGGACAUCACCGAGCUGAACGUGUGCAGAUCGCGGAGGUGUCAUGCGUUCGGUACUUGAUCGGUUGGAUCGCAAAGACGUUCGACUACAUCAACCGCGUUACUUAACGCUUCCGUUUUCGGUCUACGAGGGUGCGUGGACACACUCUCCCUGCUCGUUGCUAUGCUUCUCUAGAUAGAUCUUGCGUGAUCGUAGGCAAAAUUUUGGAAUACUACGUUCCCCAACAGUGGCAUCCGAGCUAGGUCUAUGCAUAGAUGUUAUAUGCACGAGUAGAACACAAAGAGUUGUGGGCGAUAAUAGUCAUACUGCUUACCAGCAUGGCAUACUUUGAUUCGGCGGUAUUGUUGGAUGAAGCAGCCCAGACCAACAUUACAUGACCGCGUUCAUGAGACUGGUUCUACCGCCGUGCUUCGCACACAGGUGGCUAGUGGGUGUCUGUUUCUCCAACUUUAGUUGAAUCGACUGUGACUACGCCCAGUCCUUGCUGAAGGUUAAAAAAGCACACUUGACAAAAAAUCGUUGUGGUUUUUAUGCGUAGGUAAGAACGGUUCUUGCUAAGCCCGUAUCAGCCACGUAAAACUUGCAACAACAAAGUAGAGGACGUCUAACUUGUUUUUGCAGGGCUUGCUGUGAUGUGAUAUGGUCAAGACGUGAUGAUAUAUAAAUUGUUGUAUGAGACGAUCAUGUUUUGUAACAGUUAUCAGCAACUGGCAGGAGCCAUAUGGUUGUCGCUUUAUUGUAUGAAAUGCAAUUGCCAUGUAAUUGCUUAACUUUGUCACUAAGCGGUAGCGAUAGUCGUAGUAACAAUAGUUGGGGAGACGACAACGAUGCUUCGAUGGAGAUCAAGGUGUCAAGCCGGUGACGAUGGUGAUCAUGACGAUGCUUUGGAGAUGGAGAUCAAAGACACAAGAUGAUGAUGGCCAUAUCAUAUCAGUUAUAUUGAUUGCAUGUGAUGUUUAUCCUUUAUGCAUCUUAUUUUUCUUAGUACGGCGGUAGCAUUAUAAGAUGAUCCCUCACUAAAUUUCAAGGUACAAGUGUUCUCCCUGAGUAUGCACCAUUGCGACAGUUCGUCGUGCCGAGACACCACGUGAUGAUUGGGUGUGAUAAGCUCUACGCUCACAUACAACAGGUGCAAGCCAGUUUUGCACACGCAGAAUACUCGGGUUAAACUUGACGAGCCUAGCAUAUGCAGAUAUGGCCUCAGAAUACUGAGACCGAAAGGUCGAGCGUGAAUCAUAUAGUAGAUAUGAUCAACAUACUGAUGUUCACCAUUGAAAACUACUCCAUCUCACGUGAUGAUCAGACAUGGUUUAGUUGAUAUGGAUCACGUGAUCACUUAGAUGAUUAGAGGGAUGUCUAUCUAAGUGGAGUUCUUAAGUAAUAUGAUUAAUUGAACUUUAAUUUAUCAUGAGCUUGGUACCUGAUAGUAUUUGCAUAACUAUGUUGUAGAUCAAUAGCUCGUGAUGUAGCUCCCCGUUUAUUUUUGAUAUGUUCCUAGAGAAAACUAUGUUGAAAGAUGAUAGUAGCAAUGAUGCGGACUAGAUCCGUGAUUUGAGGAUUAUCCUCAUUGCUGCACAGAAGAAUUAUGUCCUUGAUGCACCUCUAGGUGACGGACCUAUUGCAGGAGCAGAUGCAGACGUUAUGAACGUUUGGCAAGCUCGGUAUGAUGACUACUUGAUAGUUUAGUGCACCAUGCUUUACGGCUUAGAACCGGGACUUCAAAAAUGUUUUGAACGCCACGGAGCAUAUAAGAUGUUCCAAGAGCUGAAAUUGGUAUUUCAGACUCAUGCCCAAGUCGAGAGGUAUGAGACCUCUGACAAGUACUUUGCCUACAAGAUGGAAUAAUGAUGGAUCGGUGUGCGGAAUUGUCCUAGGCAAUAAAGUUAGAAUAUAUUACUAAAUAAUAUAAAUAGCGAGUGUGGAAUAAUGAUGGAUCGGUGUGCGGAAUUGUCCUAGGCAAUUGUUAACAAGACCGGUAGUCGUCAUUGCAAUUUCAUAUGAGGGAGAGGCAUAAGCUAACAUACUUUCUCUACUUGGAUCAUAUGCACUUAUGGUUGGAACUCUAGCAAGCAUCCGCAACUACUAAAGAUCAUUAAGGUAAAACCUAACCAUAGCAUUAAAGCAUCAAGUCCUCUUUAUUCCCAUACGCAACAACCCCCUUACUCGGGUUUGUGUUUCAGUCACUCACCAACCCACUAUAAGUGAAUCAUGAACGUAUUGCAACACCCUACAGCGGGAAUCCCUCACGCUUGCGCGACACGGAGGGCACCAUAGGACAGCACCAAAGUAAAACAUACAACUCGUACCAAUCUAGAUCAUCAAUCAACCCAAGGACAAAAUAUAUCUACUCAAAACAUCAUAGGAUGGCAACACAUCAUUGGAUCAUAAUAUGUGGCAUAAAGCACCAUGUUCAAGUAGGGAUUACAGCGGGGUGCGGGAGAGUGGACCGCGUAAGAGAGAUGAGGAUGGGGUUGAUGGUGGUGAUGUUGAUGAAGACGAUCACCGCGGCGAUGAUUCCCCCCUUGAUGGCACUCCGGCGCCACCGAGAGAGAGGAGGAGAGGUUCUCCCCCUUGUGCUUCCUCCUCCAUGGCCUCCCCCCUAGAUGGGGAAAGGUUCUCCCUCUGAUCAUUGGCCUUCAUGGCGAUGAUGGCCUCUUCGGGAUACUCCUCCAUGGCCACCGGUGAUGAUGGCUCCCUCCGGCAGGGUGCCGGAGAGGGCCUAGAUUGAUUUCUCGUGGCUACAGAGGCUUGCGGCGGCGGAACUCCCGAUCUAGGUUUCUUUCUGGAAGUUUGGGUAUAUAUGAGAGGUGUUGGUGUUGAUUUCACGUCAGGGGGGUUUCCGGGCUGUCCACGAGGCAGGGGGCGCGCCCCGGGGGGUGGGCGCCCCCCACCCUCGUGGGCAGCCCGGGACUCCUCUGGCCUACUUCCGGUACUCCGUGGGCUUCUCCUGGUCCAAAAAUGAUCUCCGUCAAGUUGCACGUCAAUUGGACUCCGUUUGGUUUUCCUUUUCUGCGAUACUCUAAAACAAGGAGAAAACAAAAACUGGCACUGGGCUCUAUGUUAAUAGGUUAGUCCCAAAAAUCAUAUAAAAGUGUAUAAUAAAGCCCAUUAAACAUCCAAGAUAGAUAAUAUAACAGCAUGAAUACUUUAUAAAUUAUAGAUACGUUGGAGACGUAUCACACCACAGCGUAAUGGUGUGUCCGAAUGUCGUAAUCGUACUUUACUAGAUAUGGUGCGAUCUAUGAUGUCUCUUACUGAUUACCGCUAUCAUUUUGGGGUUAUACUUUAGAGACGGCUGCAUUCACGUUAAAUAGGGCACCAUCAAAAUCCGUUGAGACGACGCCUUAUGAAUUGUGGUUUGGCAAGAAACCAAAGUUGUCGUUUCUUAAAGUUUGGGGCUGCGAUGCUUAUGUGAAAAAACUUCAACCUAAUAAGCUCGAACCCAAAUCGGAGAAAUGUGUCUUCAUAGGAUACCCAAAGGAAACUGUUGGGUACACCUUCUAUCACAGAUCUGAAGGCAAGACUUCUGUUGCUAAAUUUGGAUCCUUUCUAGAGAAGGAGUUUCUCUCGAAAGAAGUGAGUGGGAGGAAAGUAGAACUUGAUGAGGUAACCGUACCUGCUCCCUUAUUGGAAAGUAUUUCAUCACAUAAACCGGUUCCUGUGACAUCUAUACCAAUUAGUGAGGAAGUUAAUGAUGAAGCUCAUGAAACUUCAGAUCAAGUUGUUACUGAACCUCGUAGGUCAACCAGAGUAAGAUCCGCACCAGAGUGGUACGGUAAUCCCGUUCUGGAGGUUAUGUUACUAGACCAUGAUGAACCUACGAACUAUGAAGAAGCGAUGGUGAGCCCAGAUUCCACAAAAUGGCUUGAGGCCAUGAAAUCCGAGAUGGGAUCCAUGUAUGAGAACAAAGUAUGGACUUCGGUUGACUUGCCCGAUGAUCGGCAAGCCAUUGAGAAUAAAUGGAUCUUCAAGAAGAAGACUGACGCUGACGGUAAUGUUACUGUCUACAAAGCUCGACUUGUUGCAAAAGGUUUUCGACAAGUUCAAGGGAUUGACUACGAUGAGACUUUCUCACCCGUAGCGAUGCUUAAGUCUGUCUGAAUCAUGUUAGCAAUUGCCGCAUUUUAUGAUUACAAAAUUUGGCAAAUGGAUGUCAAAACUGCAUUCCUGAAUGGAUUUCUGGAAGAAGAGUUGUAUAUGAUGCAACCGGAAGGUUUUGUCGAUCCAAAGGGAGCUAACAAAGUGUGCAAGCUCCAGCGAUCCAUUUAUGGACUGGUGCAAGCCUCUCGGAGUUGGAAUAAACGUUUUGAUAGUGUGAUCAAAGCAUAUGGUUUUAUACAGACUUUUGGAGAAGCCUGUAUUUACAAGAAAGUGAGUGGGAGCUCUGUAGCAUUUCUAAUAUUAUAUGUGGAUGACAUAUUGUUGAUUGGAAAUGAUAUAGAAUUUCUGGAUAGCAUAAAAGGAUAUUUGAAUAAGAGUUUUUCAAUGAAGGACCUCGGUGAAGCUGCUUAUAUAUUGGGCAUCAAGAUCUAUAGAGAUAGAUCAAGACGCUUAAUUGGACUUUCACAAAGCACAUACCUUGACAAAGUUUUGAAGAAGUUCAAAAUGGAUCAAGCAAAGAAAGGGUUCUUGCCUGUGUUACAAGGUGUGAAGUUGAGUCAGACUCAAUGCCCGACCACUGCAGAAGAUAGAGAGAAAAUGAAAGAUGUUCCCUAUGCUUUAGCCAUAGGCUCUAUCAGGUAUGCAAUGCUGUGUACCAGACCUGAUGUGUGCCUUGCUAUAAGUUUAGCAGGGAGGUACCAAAGUAAUCCAGGAGUGGAUCACUGGACAACGGUCAAGAACAUCCUGAAAUACCUGAAAAGGACUAAGGAUAUGUUUUUCAUUUAUGGAGGUGACAAAGAGCUAGUCGUAAAAGGUUACGUCGAUGCAAGCUUUGACACUAAUCCGGACGAUUCUAAAUCGCAAACCGGAUACGUGUUUACAUUGAACGGUGAAGCUGUCAGUUGGUGCAGUUCUAAACAAAGCGUUGUGGCGGGAUCUACGUGUGAUGCGGAGUACAUAGCUGCUUCGGAAGCAGCAAAUGAAGGAGUCUGGAUGAAGGAGUUCAUAUCCGAUCUAGGUGUCAUACCUAGUGCAUCGGGUCCAAUGAAAAUCUUUUGUGACAAUACUGGUGCAAUUGCCUUGGCAAAGGAAUCCAGAUUUCACAAGAGAACCAAGCACAUCAAGAGACGCUUCAACUCCAUCCGGGAUCAAGUCCAGGUGGCACACAUAGAAAUUUGCAAGAUACAUACGGAUCUGAAUGUUGCAGACCCGUUGACUAAGCCUCUUCCACGAGCAAAACAUGAUCAGCACCAAGGCUCCAUGGGUGUUAGAAUCAUUACUGUGUAAUCUAGAUUACUGACUCUAGUGCAAGUGGGAGACUGAAGGAAAUAUGCCCUAGAGGCAAUAAUAAAGUUAUUAUUUAUUUCCUUAUAUCAUGAUAAAUGUUUAUUAUUCAUGCUAGAAUUGUAUUAACCGGAAACAUAAUACUUGUGUGAAUACAUAGACAAACAGAGUGUCACUAGUAUGCCUCUACUUGACUAGCUCGUUAAUCAAAGAUGGUUAUGUUUCCUAGCCAUGGACAUGAGUUGUCAUUUGAUUAACGGGAUCACAUCAUUAGGAGAAUGAUGUGAUUGACUUGACCCAUUCCGUUAGCUUAGCACUUGAUCGUUUAGUAUUCUGCUAUUGCUUUCUUCAUGACUUAUACAUGUUCCUAUGACUAUGAGAUUAUGCAACUCCCAUUUACCGGAGGAACACUUUGUGUGCUACCAAACGUCACAACGUAACUGGGUGAUCAUAAAGGUGCUCUACAGGUGUCUCCAAAGGUACUUGUUGGGUUGGCGUAUUUCGAGAUUAGGAUUUGUCACUCCGAUUGUCGAAGAGGUAUCUCUGGGCCCUCUCGGUAAUGCACAUCACUAUAAGCCUUGCAAGCAAUGUGACUAAUGAGUUAGUUGCGGGAUGAUGUAUUACGGAACGAGUAAAGAGACUUGCCAGUAACGAGAUUGAACUAGGUAUUGAGAUACCGACGAUCAAAUCUCGGGCAAGUAACAUACCGAUGACAAAGGGAACAACGUAUGUUGUUAUGUGGUUUGACCGAUAAAGAUCUUCGUAGAAUAUGUAGGAGCCAAUAUGAGCAUCCAGGUUCCGCUAUUGGUUAUUGACCGGAGACGUGUCUCGGUCAUGUCUACAUAGUUCUCGAACCCGUAGGGUCCGCACGCUUAAAGUUCGAUGACGGUUAUAUUAUGAGUUUAUGUGUUUUGAUGUAACGAAGGUAGUUCGGAGUCCCGGAUGUGAUCACGGACAUGACGAGGAGUCUUGAAAUGGUCAAGACGUAAAGAUCGAUAUAUUGGAUGACUAUAUUUGGAUACUGGAAUGGUUCCGGGUGAGAUCGGGAUAAUACCGGAGCACCGGGAGGUUAUCGGAACCCCCCGGGAGGUAUAUGGGCCUUAAUGGGAUUUAGUGGAAAGGAGGGGAAAGGAGCAAGGGAGGGGGCGCCCCCCCCCAAGCCCAAUCCGAAUUGGGAGGGGGGCCGACCCCCCUUUCCUUCCUCCCUCCUUCCUCUUCCUUCCCUCUCCCUCUCCAAAUAGGAAAAGGAGGAGUCCUACUCCCGGUGGGAGUAGGACUCCCCCAUUGGCUGGCCCUCUCCUCACCCCUUUAUAUACGGAGGAGAGGGGCACCCCAUAGACACAAUAAUUGAUCUCUUGGAUCUUUUAGCCGUGUGCGGUGCCCCUCUCCACCAUAGUCCACAUCGAUAAUAUUGUAGCAGUGCUUAGGUGAAGCCCUGCGUCGGUAGCAACAUCAUCAUCGUCACCACGCCGUCGUGCUGACGGAACUCACCCUCAAAGCUCGGCUGGAUCGGAGUUCGAGGGACAUCAUCGAGUUGAACGUGUGUAGAACUCGAAGGUGCCGUGCGUUUGGUACUUGAUCGGUCGGAUCGUGAAGAUGUACGACUACAUCAACCGCGUUGUGCUAAUGCUUCCGCUUUCGGUCUACGAGGGUACGUGGACACACUCUCCCCUCUCGUUGCUAUGCAUCACCAUGAUCCUGUGUGUGCGUAGGAAUUUUUUUGAAAUUACUACGUUCCCCAACACCAUCAUCACCGGAGGCCAUGGAGGAGGAUCCCGGAGGGGCCAUCAUCGCCAUGAAGGCCAAGGACCAGAGGGAGAACCUCUCCCCAUCUAGGGGGGAGGCCAUGGAGGAGGAAGCACAAGGGGGAGCACCUCUCCUCCUCUCUCUCGGUGGCGCCGGAGUGCCAUCGGGAGGGGAAUCAUCGCCGCGGUGAUCGUGUUCAUCAACAUGACCAUCAUCAUCACCAUCCUCAUCUCUUUUACGCGGUCCACUCUCCCGCAACCCGCUGUAAUCCCUACUUGAACAUGGUGUUUUAUGCCACAUAUUAUGAUCCAAUGAUGUGUUGCUAUCCUAUGAUGUUUUGAGUAGAUAUCCUUUGUCUUUGGGUUGAUUGAUGAUCUAGAUUGGUAUGAUUUGUAUGUUUUAUUUUGGUCCUGUCCUAUUGUGUCCUCCGUGUCGCGCAAGCGUGAGGGAUUCCCGCUGUAGGGUGUUGCAAUAUGUCCAUGGUUUACUUAUUGUCUGUGUUGCUUGAGUGACAGAAGCAUAAACACGGAUAAGUGGGUCACGGCGUAUGGGAUAAAGGGGACUUGAUACUUAAAAUGCUAUAGUUGGGUUUUACCUUAAUUAUCUUUACUAGUUGCGGAUGCUUGCUAGAGUUCCAAUCAUAAGUGCAUAUGAUCCAAGAAGGGAAAGUAUGUUAGCUUAUGCCUCUCCCUCAUAUGAAAUUUCAAUAGUGAUUACCGGUCUUGUUAACAAUUGCCUAGGACAAUUCCGCACACCAAUCCAUCAUUAUUCCACACUCGCUAUUUAUAAUAUUUAGCAAUAUAUUCUAACUUUAUGAUAACAGCACCUACUUUUAUAUUUUAGCUCUCCGAUACCAUGCAAAGUUAUCCUCUUCAUACCCACAACGUAGUUUUAUUUCUCCUUUCUAAUUGGAAGGAAACGUUCGGUGUACGUAGCUAGAGUCGUAUCAGUAGCAGAUAGGACUUGAGAGAAUAUUGAUCUUACCUUUAGCUCUUUGUGGGUUCGACACUCCAUACUUAUCACUUCCACCUUUGGGAAUUGCUACGAUGAUUCCCUGCACUUGGGGAUUAUCAUUUAUCAUUUGAUGAAUGGGGUCACAUCAUUAGAGAAUGAUGAUGGACAAGACCCAUCUGUUAGCUUAGCAUAAUGAUCGUUUAGUUUAUUGUUGUUGCUUUCUUCAUGACUUAUACAUGUUCCUAUGACUAUGAGAUUAUGCAACUCCCGAAUACCGGAGGAACACUUAGUGUGCUAUCAAACAUCACAACAUAACUGGGUGAUUAUAAAGAUGCUCUACAGGUGUCUCAAAUGGUGUUUGUUGAGUUGGCAUAGGUCGAGAUUAGGAUUUGUCACUCCGAUUGUCGGAGAGGUAUCUCUGGGCCCUCUCGGUAAUGCACAUCACUAUAAGCCUUGCAAGCAAUGUGACUAAUGAGUUAGUUGCGGGAUGAUGCAUUAUGGAACGAGUAAAGAGACUUGUCAGUAACGAGAUUAAACUAGGUAUGAUGAUACCGACGAUCGAAUCUCGGGCAAGUAACAUACCGAUGACAAAGGGAACAACGUAUGUUGUUGUGCGGUUUGACCAAUAAAGAUCUUUGUAGAAUAUGUAGGAACCAAUAUGAGCAUCGAGGUUCCGCUAUUUGUUAUUGACCGGAGAUGAGUCUCGGUCAUGUCUACAUAGUUCUCGAACCCGUAGGGUCCGCACGCUUAACAUUCGAUGACGAUAUGUAUUAUGAGUUUUGUGAUUUUAUGUACUGAAGGUAGUUCGAAGUCCCGGAUGUGAUCACGGACAUGACGAGGAGUCUCGUAAUGGUCGAGACAUAAAGAAUGAUAUAUUGGACGAUGUUAUUCGGACACCGGAUGAGUUCUGGGGGUAACCGGAUAAAUAUCAGAGUGUCGAAAGAUAUCCUAGGAGCUACUUGAAUUCCCACUAAACUCCCAAAACUUUCUGGUUAUGCAAUCUGGUGUUGGGGAUACAGGGGACACAAAAUAUAUCACCCAAACUAGCAAUCCCUAGAUCCAGCUGUAUCCAUCCGUCAAAACAUAACCAAGAAACCUUCGGAAAUCGUGUACCUCAACCUUCGAAAAGCAUCCGUUAUACGAGUUAUGGCAAUACUCCCGAACUCCCGCCCUAGUACUGGGUGGUGUCGAGGUGAUCUCACCAACAACUGCAUAAAAGAGAUUUCGAUGUCGGCGAAACUCAGGUAUUCCAGAACUGCAACGAUAAAAUUGUGACGACAACACCUCGGAGCUCAACUCCCCGGGACACGGACAUGACGAGGAGUCUCGUAAUGGUUGAGACAUAAAGAAUGAUAUAUUGGACGAUGUUAUUCGGACACCGGAUGAGUUCCGGGGGUAACCGGAUAAAUAUCAGAGUGUCGGAAGGGUUAUCGGAACCACCGGAGAAGUAAUGGGCCUUAUUGGGCCUAGGGGAGAGAGAGAGAGGUGCAGCCAAGGGCUGGCUGCGCACCCUGCUACCUCUUGAGCAUGCGUUGGUUUCCCCUUGAAGAGGAAAGGGUGAUGCAGCAAAGUAGCGUAAGUAUUUCCCUCAGUUUUUGAGAACCAAGGUAUCAAUCCAGUAGGAGACAACGCACAAGUCACCUAGUACCUGCACAAACAAUCAAGAACCUUGCAACCAACGCGAUAAAGGGGUUGUCAAUCCCUUCACGGUCACUCGCAAAAGUGAGAUCUAAUAAAGAUAGUAAAGUAAAUAUUUUUGGUAUUUUUGUUGUAUAGAUUGGAAAGUAAAGAUUGCAAAAUAGUAAACGAGAUGCGAUGUAAAUAAAAGAGAUGCAAUAUAAUAAGAAAGAGACCCGGGGGCCAUAGGUUUCACUAGUGGCUUCUCUCAAGAUAGCAUGUAUUACGGUGGGUGAACAAAUUACUGCCGAGCAAUUGAUAGAAAAGCGCAUAGUUAUGAAGAUAUCUAAGGCAAUGAUCAUGAAUAUAGGCAUCACGUCCGUGUCAAGUAGACCGAAACGAUUCUGCAUCUACUACUAUUACUCCACACAUCGACCGCUAUCCAGCAUGCAUCUAGAGUAUUAAGUUCAUAAGAACAGAGUAACGCAUUAAGCAAGAUGACAUGAUGUAGAGGGAUAAACUCAAGCAAUAUGAUAUAAACCCCAUCUUUUUAUCCUCGAUGGCAACAAUACAAUACGUGCCUUGCUGCCCCUACUGUCACUGGGAAAGGACACCGCAAGAUUGAACCCAAAGCUAAGCACUUCUCCCAUUGCAAGAAAGAUCAAUCUAGUAGGCCAAACUAAACCGAUAAUUCUAAGAGACUUGCAAAGAUAUCAAAUCAUGCAUAUAAGAAUUCAGAGAAAAACCAAAUAAUAUUCAUAGAUAAUCUUGUUCAUAAAUCCACAGUUCAUCGGAUCUCGGCAAACACACCGCAAAAGAGUAUUACAUCAAAUAUAUCUCCAAGAACAUCGAGGAGAACUUUGUAUUGAGAAUCAAAGAGAGAGAAGAAGCCAUCAAGCUAAUAACUAUGGACCCGAAGGUCUGUGGUAAUGUAACGCCCACGAUGCGGCUAUAUCUCCCACGUGUCGAGGCACGACUUAGAGGCAUAACUGCAUUGUGGUUUUGUCGCAAGAAGGGUCAUCUUCACACAAUCUCAUGUAAUGAACAAGAAUGGGAUAACGAGAGUUGGCUUACAAUCGCCACUUCACACAAUACAUAAAUAUAGUUCAUACAUCAUCCAAAAUCCACACAUAGACCGACUACGGUCAAAACCAAAUGAAAAUAAGAUAACCCCAAAUGCUAGAUCCCCGGUCGUCCCAACUGGGCUCCACUACUGAUCAUCAGGAAAAGAAACAUAGUAAUGACCACGUUCCUCAUCGAACUCCCACUUGAGCUCGGUUGCGUCAUCUGCACUGGCAUCGUCGACACCUGCAACUGUUUUGGUAGAAUCUGUGAGUCACGAGGACUCAGCAAUCUCACACCCGCGAGAUCAAGACUAUUUAAGCUUACAGGAAAAGAUGGUGUAAUGAGGUGGAGCUGCAGCAGGCACUAAGCAUAUAUGGUGGCUAACAUACGCAAAUGAGAGCGAAAAGAGAGGCAACGCAACGGUCGUGAAGCUAGAAAUGAUCCUGAAACUACUUACGUUCAUGCAUAACUCAAACCGUGUUCACUUCCCGGACUCCGCCGAGAAGAGACCAUCACGGCUACACACACAGUUGAUGUAUUUUAAAUUGGGUCAAGUGACAAGUUCUCUACAACCGGACAUUAACAAAUUCCCAUCUGCCUCAUAACCGUGGGCACGGCUUUUGAAAGAUAAUACCCUGCAGGGGUGUCCCAACUUAGCCCAUUAUAAGCUCUCACGGUCAACGAAGGAUAAACCUUCUCCCGGAAAGACCCGAUCAGUCUCGGAAUCCCGGUUUACAAGACAUUUCGACAAUGGUAAAACAAGACCAGCAAAGCCGCCCGAAUGUGCCGACAAAUACCGAUAGGAGCUGCACAUAUCUCGUUCUCAGGGCACACUGGAUAAGCGAAGCGUACAGGUACCAACAUAACCCAAGUUGCCAAGGGACGGUCCCGCACGGUGCUCUAGUUUGGACCAGCACUCAGAGGAACACUGGCCCGGGGGUUUAAAUAAAGAUGACCCUCGGGCUCGCGAAAACCCAAGGGAAAAAGGCUUAGGUGGCAAAUGGUAAAACCAAGGUUGGGCCUUGCUGGAGGAGUUUUAUUCAAGGCGAACUGUCAAGGGGGUCCCAUAAAUCACCCAACCGCGUAAGGAACGCAAACUCAAGGAACAUAAUCCCGGUAUGACGGAAACUAGGGCGGCAAGAGUGGAACAAAACACCAGGCAUAAGGCCGAGCCUUCCAUCCUUUACCAAAUAUAUAUAGAUGCAUUAAUUAAAUAAGAGAUAUUGUGAUAUUCCAAAAUAUCCAUGUUCCAACAUGGAACCAACUUCAACUUCACCUGCAACUAAUAACGCUAUACGAAGGGCUGAGCAAAAGCGGUAACUUAGCCAAACAAUGGUUUGCUAGGAAAGGAUGGUUAGAGGCUUGACAUGGCAAUAUGGGAGGCAUGAUAUAGCAAGUGGUAGGUAGCGCAGCAUAGCAAUAGAAUAAGCAACUAGCAAAGCAAAGAUAGAAGUGAUUUCGAGGGUAUGGUCAUCGUGCGUGCAAGGUUCUCAGAGUUGUCGAAAGCUUGAUCCUCGUAAGCAUACUCAACAGGUUCCUCGUUCACGAACUCGUCUCCCGGCUCUACCCAAAACAAGAACACAAGCAAUGGAACCACAAUCAAUCACGGGAAAUGCACAAGCAACAUGAUGCAAAACAUGUAUGAUAUGCGAGAUGUGGUAUGCGAUGCAUAUGCGUGCUCCGGAAGAAAAAUGAUGAACAAGGCAGUAACUUGGCAAACCAAGCAUGCCACUGGAAAGAUGAGAUGAUUUCGGUCGAAAUCGGUAUAAAGAUCACCGGAAACGGAUGCACGGUUUGCAAAUGGCAAGCAAAACAAGAAUGACACGAUUCUGCGAUUAACAGCAUGAUAGCACUUAGAAUACAACAAGUAACUAUGCUACAGCACUCCAACAUAGCAACACAGCAUAUGGAAGUAAUCUACAGGCGAUGCUUGACAAAAGAUGAACACUGAGCUAUGGCUAGAUCACAAUAGAACAGGCUCAAACAAGCAUGGCAAAAGUGCAAAAGAUAUCAGGUUCACAGACUUAGUGAAAUUACUGGACAUGGCAGAAACAACAUCAGGUAGCAAUAUUCAGAGCAAGAAAUCAACAUGCUACAGGAACUUAACAUGGAAAAACAAGGCAUGGAAUGAAUCUACUAAAUGCAUAGAACAAAAGUACCUUACUGACCAUAAGCCAAAAAGGACCAGAAGAUAUGAUGGCAACCAUGUAAACAUAGCAAGUUUCGUUAACAGGUUUCAGACUUGGCAGAAAACAGAGCAUGGCAGAAACAGUAAUAUGAAGGCAUCUUGCUGAGCUUGAUUCACUCACCACAAAGCAAUUCAUGACAAAACAAGCAUACCUACAGCAAGAUGACAUGUUUAUGAAGCUAUCCAUGGCAAGAGCAAGUUCAUUGCAUGAAAGGAUCAACUACAACAAGCUUAGCAAAAUUGAAUAUCAUGUUAACAAUCUGCCAGAAAUAUUUUAUAGCACAAGUAGAGCAAGAUUAAGGCAUGCUAUGGCACUCCAUAAUUGCAAACAAGGGCAUGAAUGGAUAUAUCACAACUAUAUCUACAAAAUAUACUUACUGAACAUCUCCAAAAGGAGCAUGGAUCUCACUGUAGUGACAUGGAUACAUGGCAACAAAAUAACAGCAGUCAUAGACUUGGUAAAAUUACUAAGUCCGUGAAAUCAGAAACAUCACGAAGCCUAGUUUGCAUGCUUGUGCUAGUCACCACAUAGAUCACAAAAAUACAUGGCAUAAACCUCUGUGACGAUGGCAUGUCAUACAUCAAAACACAUGUAGAGCUCAUGCCCAUAAGAUGCACACAUGAAAUGCAACAAAAUAACAAAUCACCAAGUUCUGAUAAGUAUCAGCAGUUAACAGCAUAUAGCACUCUUGCACCAGAGAUUUGAGCAUCAAGAUGGACUCCAAUGAGCAUGGUAUAAUGGAACAAAAUGAAGAGCAUCUCGAGGCAAACAUUUCGAUAUAUUACACGCAUGAAACGGAGCAGUAUGCAGAGAGUUAUGAUGCGAUGAACUAUGCAACGGAAUAUGAAAAUAACUGGACUUAGAGAAAUUCGAGAGGGGGAGAAAGUCAACCCUACUGGAUCCCGAUCCGGAUCGGCGCGGGCUCGAGCUCGGGCUCGCCGGAGUGAGCUCGGGAGAGGGAGGAGGGAGAGGGCGGCCGGCCGGAGGGAGGAGAGGAGCUCGCCGGGGCUCGGGCUCCGGUGCGGGACGGGCGGCGGCGCGGGGGACGGCNNNNNNNNNNNNNNNNNNNNNNNNNNNNNNNNNNNNNNNNNNNNNNNNNNNNNNNNNNNNNNNNNNNNNNNNNNNNNNNNNNNNNNNNNNNNNNNNNNNNNNNNNNNNNNNNNNNNNNNNNNNNNNNNNNNNNNNNNNNNNNNNNNNNNNNNNNNNNNNNNNNNNNNNNNNNNNNNNNNNNNNNNNNNNNNNNNNNNNNNNNNNNNNNNNNNNNNNNNNNNNNNNNNNNNNNNNNNNNNNNNNNNNNNNNNNNNNNNNNNNNNNNNNNNNNNNNNNNNNNNNNNNNNNNNNNNNNNNNNNNNNNNNNNNNNNNNNNNNNNNNNNNNNNNNNNNNNNNNNNNNNNNNNNNNNNNNNNNNNNNNNNNNNNNNNNNNNNNNNNNNNNNNNNNNNNNNNNNNNNNNNNNNNNNNNNNNNNNNNNNNNNNNNNNNNNNNNNNNNNNNNNNNNNNNNNNNNNGGACGGCGCCGGCGCCGGCGGGCGCGGGCGGCCGCGGGGAACAGCGGUGUCGUGAAAUUGUCACGACAGAUGUCCUCGUGCAAGGACUUAGUCGUGGAGCCAUCGCAGCUAGGAAGUUUAAAGGGGUUAAACGGGACAAGGAACACGAGGGUUAUACUGGUUCGGCCCCUUACGGUGAAGGUAAAAGCCUACGUCCAGUUGAGGUGGUAUUGAUUAGGGUUUCGAUGACCAGGAGCUAAACCGCCCUGCCUGGUUUCGGUCUUCUCUUUUCUGCCCCUAAACCGCCGCCGGGUCGUCCCUUUAUAUAGAGAGGUUGACGCCCAACGGCUCUCAGAGUCCCGGCCGGCUCAUAACAGUGUCCGGCUCGGACUCUUAACUAUUCUUGCCUUACACUACAAGUCUUGCCAUACGGCGGUUUACCACUACGGGCCUUAAGCCACCUCCGGGUCUUAAGCCCAUUAUCUAACCCGCCGUCUUCAAGCUUGGUACUAGGCUUCGCAUGAUGACCAUUAUGAGUAACCCGGCCCCUCUUGGGCGGGUGAUUCCAAUGGUUAUAUUCUCAACAUUAGGCCCCAGAUUGAUUUGAGCCGGUUCAUGUCAAUCUUCAAUUCCUUUGAGAGAAAAAAUCUUCCGGCUUAUGGUCGUGCGAAGGUUAUAACCCGGCGUGACGUCAUCUUCUGGAUUCCUGGUGACCCGCCAUGACGUCAUCUUCCAUUAAGUCCAUUUUUUUAUUCUGUUAUACUCCAACGGAUCUUAUCUUUAAUGGCUAUCCUGAAAAUCGAGGCGCUUUCGUGGCGAGAUAAUCACGCCGUGGCCUCCUUGUUUCUCGCGCCCACUUAUGAGCCUCACCUUAUAAAUAGCCCAGCCCAUGAGCCUCCAGUUACUCGUCGCCUCCAUCUUCUUCCUCCUCUCGCCACUGUACUGCCGCCCGAGCUCCGCCGCCGCCGCCGCGGGUCUCCUCGUCUUCACCAACUCAGGCCGCUGCAUCAACCUGACGUGACCAGAAAAAACGCGACGAACCUCCGCAGUAACUCCGCAUCUGUAAGUCCCUGCACCUCCCCACCGUAGAUCCGCAUUUAGGGUUCCGCUGUUCUUCCUCUGUUCUUCGCUGUUCUUCUCGAGUUCCCUGUAGUUCUUCCACUACAGUCAUGUUUGAUCCAAAAGUAGUACAGAGCUCCUGUGGUAGUUGUUGCGCAUCCAUUUUUAUGCUAGUAGAUCCCCUUUGUCUGCAAUAAGAUCUCGUUCUGAAUCCAUGAACUUCUUCUGCGUCAGUUCUAGGUCUAGAAAAUUUUCUUUUUAACCGACCGUUUUGAUCCAAAAUAAUUACUGCGAUCUGUGAAACUUGUUUGCGCCAUACUUAGUCAAAAAUGGCAUCUGUUUAGUUAUGGCGGCUCACAUUUCCGGCUCAAAAGAAACCACAUGCUGUAAAAUUUCCGGCUCAUUUAUGAUCAAGCUGUAGACAACUUGAAUUACUCACGACGCCCACAGCGGCUUAGAUAACCCGACAGAAUUAGCCAUGCAUCAUUAGGCCCCUUCAUAAGCCGCCAGUUUGAGUGUUGAACUGUAAAUCUCCUCCGGCUUAUAAUUGAACCGGACAUUUCCCUUUUGUCAUAGGCUUCAUCUUUCACAAUGCCACCCAAGGCUCCCAGGGCACCCAUCACGUGCAACUGGAUGAGAUCCAACGUCAUUGAUGAUACUUUAGCCGAUUUCGUGAAGACGGGUUACCUGCCCAAGAAGGAGGUCAUGUCUUAUCGUGCCCCUGACCCGUCAGAGGAAAGUCCUCAACCUAGGGAUGGCGAAGUAGUGAUAUUUGCUGAUCACAUGAGCCGGGGCUUCGCGCCGCCCGGCUCAAAAUUCUUUAGAGAGGUUCUGAACUUCUUUGAUCUGCGGCCGCAAGACAUAGGACCCAAUUCCGUGUCAAAUAUUUGCAAUUUUCAAGUAUUCUGCGAAGUCUAUCUUGGAGAAGAACCCAGCCUACUGCUCUUUAGGGAGCUGUUUUAUCUGAACCGCCAGAACGAGUGCGCCAACGGGCCGAGCUUAGAACUUGGUGGAAUCUCAAUUCAACGACGGAGGGACUGCCUCUUUCCUUAUGCUGAGCCGCCAAGCCAUCCAAAGGACUGGAACCAAACGUGGUUCUACUGCCAGGAUACCUCUCCGGCUGACGAGAGCCCUCUGCCCGGCUUUCGUGCCCUGCGUCUAGAGCCAAAUCACCCUCUGCCAGACAAACUAUCUCAAGCUGAGCGUCAACCUCUGAUCCCCACCAUCAACAAGAUCAAGGCUCUCCUGGGAAAUGGCCUCAACAGCAUUGAUCUGGUCCGGGUCUGGAUCUCUUGGCGGGUGAUCCCCUUGAGCCGCCGCCCCGACUUAAUGUGUGACUACACGGGCCGAAAGGAUGACCCUCUGCAGCACAGCCCCAACGAUCUUCCUGAGGAUGUCGUGGAUGACAUGACCAAGUCUCUCCUGAAUGAGAGCUUAGCCGACUGUGGGAGGACCGGCUUAAACCCCUUCUGCCAAGCUAACCCGGCUCCGGCGGUAAGCCACUAACCUGAACACCUUGAUUUUCCUUUCAAUAGUUUUCAUCUGAACUUUAAGAAACCUUUGCUGUAUUUUUCAGGCUAAUGACAAGUUAUGGAAGGUCAGAUAUGACCAUGAGGCGGCUAAAAAAGCCAGGAAGGCUAAGAAAGCCGCCAGGAGAGCCGCUCCUCGCAAGAAGGGAAGCAGGCCUACUGCCUCAGAGCUGCUUCAGCUAAGUGACAGCUCCGAGUCAGAGGUAACCCUUGAAUCUUUAGGUUCUUCUUUUGUUUCUUAUUUAUUCCUAUCCGCCUUAUCGAUACUGAUUGUCAGCAGGAGGACACCGGAGCGAGUAUCCCGGUGACUGAAGAGGUAACUACACUUUCCUCCGACUUGGAGCCCUUGCCAAGGCUGAAAGUCCGAAGAGUAACCCGGAAAGUAAGAUUUUAACAUCCUUUAGCUUAUCAAGAUCCUCAAUUUCUUUUGAAGCGACAGAUUCAUGAGAGCCGGCGGCACACCCGGACCAACAAGGAUGCAGACCUCUCCUCUGGCUUACCUGAAGCAUCAAGGAAGCGCCGGACCGAGGUUAUCUCCAACUAAUAUCCUUUUCAUCCUUUGGCGGGCGUUACUCGUCAACCGCUCAAUUCUUCUGAUUCAAAUUAUCAGGACACUUCACCUUCCUCUGGUGGUUCUAUGCAAUCGAACCUGCCGGCUUUCAAGACCGCACCCGGGUAAUGAUGAUCAUCUUAUGUUGUGCUUAUCUUUACUCAUGCUUUUGUACUAACCUUUUGUCCUGUCAGUGCUCAAGCAAAGCUCAGUAAGAGGGCGAAGAAGAAUAAACCGGUCGAAGAGCCGAUCCUGACUGAACCGGAGGCCUCUGCUCAAGAGCCGCCAUCUACCUCAGCCCCUGAAACCACCGCUCCAACUGACGAGCCAGUCAUAGAGUCUUCUACUAAUCCGGAGAUCCCCAGCCCAGCUCAGCCGGCCGAUGACCCGGACGUUGUAAUCACCCGGACGGAGUUUGUCGAGCCGGGGAGACCCACUGCGCUGGCUAAGUGCUCUGCCAAGGAAGAGUUGCUAGAGCGCCAGGGCCAAGCUGGAGAUCACCAACUACGCUAACUUGAGCAUUGGAGAUAUCGUCUCCGGCUAUGUCAAUCAGGUGCACAACAGCCGUGACCUGGAGAUUGACAUGGUGAAGCAGAUACAGCAGAAAUCUGAGGUACAACUCUCUUGCUUACUGCAUAGUCAUCUUUACCAUACUAGCCCCCAAGUAUACUACUUAUGAUAGAAUAUGUUGUAGACUUAGCUUCCGGCUUACUUUCAUGACCCGGCAAUCUUCAAUUAAAUCUUUCAGCAUACAUUAGCCCCCAAGUGCCAAGUGCCUUUGCUUGUAAAGUGCUUGGGACUUUAAUGUUGCAUAAUAAUUACUCAAACUGUAACUCGGAAUUUGUACAGGCUGCCUGCAAAAAAUUUGAAGCUGAAAUCUCUGAGCUGAAGAACCGCCUGAAGACUCAGGAAACUGAGACCCGGAAGGCCAACGCCAAAUUUGAGUUCAGUGUUGCUACACAAGAAAAGCUGAAGAAGAAAUUUGAGACAGAGAGGAAGACUUGGUCUGAAGAGAGAGCCGCCUUGCUGAGCCGGGCCGAAAAAGCAGAGGCUGCUCUAACUGAGAGAACUGCCGAACUCUCCGGCUUAAAGCGCCAUGUGUCACAGAUGGUCUCCGCAAUCUUCGGUAAGUCAUUCUGCAAGCUUUUACCAAGUUUUCAUUCUUUAUGUCUCAUAAGUCCCCCUACUGUCUCCGGCUUACCUGACUUUGUUGAAACAGGUCCCAGAAGCUCCAACCUUAACCAGAAUGUUCUGACGAAGCUGAAGGCCGUGUACACGUUGGUGGAGCAACUCUACACCGGGUCACAGCGUGCGUUAGCCGUUGUGGCCCUGUCCAACGAGGUUCCGACUCACCUGGCGGACGUACUCAGGCGGCUUGCCGUUCUUCCUCAGCGCUUCCAAGAGCUAAGACGGGCCUCUGCAAGAGCCGGAGCGAUAGCUGCUUUGAGCCGGGCCAAGGCUUUUCUUCCGGAGUUAGACCCGGCUGACAUCGCUCUUGGAUACCCCAGCCUGAAGGAAGACGGCACCCCUUUCGACCAAAAAGACUUUGCAGCCUGUGUGAAGAGCGUGCGCCCGGUGGCCACCCUGAUUGGAAAUGACACCGACCUGACCAAGUACCAGCCGGGCUACGACGCGGAAAAUCAGAGGAUCCCCACUCCACAUUAUGAAGCCCUCAGCUUGAUCCCGCCGACUCGUAAGCACACCUUUGCCCAGAAAUUGACCCGGCUGGGUUAAUUGAUGACGAGGCUUGUCGUGGAAUUGUCACGUCAGAUGUCCUCAAGCUAGGACUUAGUCGUGGAGCCAUCGCCGCUAGGAAGCUUGAAGGGGUUAACGGGACAAGGAACACGAGGGCUUAUACUGGUUCGGCCCCUUACGGUGAAGGUAAAAGCCUACGUCCAGUUGAGGUGGUAUUGAUUAGGGUUUCGAUGACCAGGAAGCUUAACUGCUAUGCCUGGCUCUCGAUGAGAUCUUUCUUGCCCCUACGCUGCCGGGUCGUCCCUUUAUAUAGGGAGGCUGACGCCCAGCAGCUCUCAGAGUCCCGGCCGGCUCAUAAGAGUGUCCGGCUCGGACUCUCAACUAUUCUUGCCUUACACUACAAGUUCUACCAUAAUGAUGAUUGUAACUACGGGCCUUAAGCCAUAUCCGGGUCUUAAGCCCAUCUUUGACCCACCGUCUUCAAGCUUGGCGCCGGGCUUCUGGCGAUGACCACUAUGAGUAACCCGACCCCUCCUGGCGGGUGACUCUAAGGUCUAUAUCCUCAACAUUAGGCCCCAGAUUGAUUUGAGCCGGCUCAUGCCAAUCUUCAAUUCUUUCGACAGAAAUUCUCCGGCUUACAAUUGUGUGAAGGCCAUAACCCGGCGUGACGUCAUCCUCUGGACUCCGGGUAAUCCGCCGUGACGUCAUCUUCCAUUAAAUCCAUUUUUUACUCCACUAUAUCCACAACGGAUCUUAUCUUUACUGCCAUCCCGAAAAUCGAGGCGUUUCAUGGGGAGAUAACCACGCCGUGGUCUCCUCGUUUCUCGCGCCCACUUAUGAGCUUACCCUUAUAAAUAGUCCGGCCCGAUGAGCCUUCAGCCACCCGUCUUCCUCCUCGCGCCCCUGCUCUUCCGCUCGAGCCCUGUUGCCGUCGCCGCCGCGGGUCUUCUCGUCCUCACCGACUCCGGCCGCUGCAUCAACCUGUUGUGUCCAGAGAAUGGCAGCGACCUCCGCGACUCACCAGCACCUGUAAGUCCUUGCUGCCCCGUAGAACAGAUCUGCAGUAGGGUUUCUUCCUGUUCUUCCCGUGUUCUUCACCGUUCUUCGCAGGCCCUCGGUAGAUUUGAUUUUUACCACCCCUUUUGAUCUUAGACUUGCAUAGAACCACUACGGUAGCUGUUUCACUUCCAUUCCUAAUGCAAAUAGAUCCCCUUUUUACUGCAUAGAUGCUUCGUUCGAACUCGCAGACUUCUUCUGCGUCUGUUUUUAGGUCUAGGAAUUUUCCUUUUCAACCGACCGUUUUGAUCCAAAUUAUUUACUGCGAUGUGUGAAACCUGUUUUCACCACACUUAGUAAAAAACUACACCUGCCGAGUCGUGGCGGUUUACGUUUCCGGCUUAAAGAAGCCACGUACUGUAAAAAAUUUCCGGCUCAUUUGCAGCAAGGCUGUAGAUAAUUGAAUUGCUCUCAAUACCUCGGGCGGCUUAGAUAACCCGAUGCACCUAGAUAUAUGUCAUUAGUCCCCUCCAUAAGCCGCCACUUUAACAUUGAACUGUAAAUUUCCUCCGGCUUAUAAUUAAACUGGACGUUUCCUUUUAUCAUAGGCUGCCGACUUUCACCAUGCCUCCCAAAGCUCCUAAAGCAUCCAUCACUUGCAAUUGGAUGAGGUCCAAUGUCACCGACGAGACUUUAGCGGAUUUUGUCAAGUCAGGUUACCUGCCUAAGAAGGACGUCAUGUCCUACCGUGCCCCUGACCCGUCAGAGGAGAGACCACAGCCAAAGGACGGGGAGGUAGUGAUUUUUGCGGAUCACAUGAGCCGGGGCUUCACACCGCCCGGCUCAAAGUUCUUUAGAGACGUGCUGAAUUUCUUUGACCUGCGGCCACAAGACAUAGGACCCAAUUCUGUGUCCAAUAUAAGCAACUUCCAAGUGUUCUGCGAAGCCUACCUUGGAGAGGAGCCCAGCCUGCUGCUCUUCAUAGAGCUCUUCUACCUGAACCGUCAGAACGAGUGCGCCAACGGGCCAAGCUUGGAACUUGGCGGCAUCUCCAUUCAGCGACGGAGAGACUGCCUUUUCCCUUACGCCGAGCCGCCGAGUCACCCAAAGGACUGGAACCAGACGUGGUUCUAUUGCCAAGACACAUCGCCGGCUGACGAGAGCCCGCUGCCCGGCUUUCGCCCUUCACGUCUGGAACCAACUCACCCUCUGUCUGACAAGUUAACUCAGGCGGAGCGCCAACCUCUGCUCCCCACCAUCAACAAGAUCAAGGCUCUCCUGGGCAAUGGUCUCAACGGAAUUGAUCUGGUCCGGGUCUGGAUCUCGUGGCGGGUGAUCCCCCUAAGCCGCCGCCCCGGCUUAAUGUGUGAGUACACAGGCCGGAAAGAUGGCCCCCUGCGACACAGCUGCAACGAUCUUCCUGAAGACGUUGCUGAAGACAUGACCAAGGCCCUUUUAAAUGAGAGCUUGGCAGACUGCGGGAGGACCGGGUUAGCCCCCUUCUGCAAGACCAACCCAGCCCCAGCAGUAAGCCGCUGAUCUGAACAUCUUAUCUUGUUCUGCAGAUAACCUUCAUCUAAAUCUUUAAAAAAUCAUCAUUGUAUUUUUCAGGCUGAUGACAAAUUCUGGAAGGUCAAAUAUGACCAUGAGGCGGCCAAGAAGGCCAGGAAGGCUAAGAAAGCCGCCAAGAGAGCUGCUCCCCGUAAGAAGGGAAGUAGGCCUACUGCUUCAGAGCUGCUGCAACUAAGCGACAGCUCCGAGUCAGAGGUAACCCCUGAACCUGUAAGCUCUUGUUGUAUUUGUUGUUCAUUUCUGUCCACCUUAUCAAUACUGUUCAUCAACAGGAUGACACCGGAGCAAGUAACCCGGUGGUUGAAGAGGUAAUGACACUUUCCUCCGACUCGGAGCCCUUGCCAAGGCUGAAAGUCCGAAGGGUAACCCGGAAAGUAAGAUUUUCUCAUCCUUUAGCUUAUCAAGAUCCUCAAGUUCUUUUGAAGCGACAGACUCAUGAGAGCCGGCGGCACACCCGGACCAACAAGGACGCUGACCUCUCCUCCGGUUUACCUGACGCGUCGAGGAAACGCCGGACCGAGGUUAUCUCCCUCUUGUACCCUUUUCAUCCUUUGGCGGGUGUUAUUCGUCAACCGCUCAAUUCUUCUGACUCAAACUAUCAGGAAACCUCACCCUCCUCUGGUGACUCGAUGCAAUCAAACCUGCCGGCCUUCAAGACCAUACCCGGGUAAUGAUGAUCAUUUCUUGUUAUGCUUAUCUUUACUCAUACUUUUGUACUAACCUUUUUGUCCUUUCAGUGCCCAGGAAAAACUCAGCAAGAGGGCGAAAAAGAACAAGCCGGUCGACGAGCCGGACUUGCCCGAACCGGAGGCUGCAGCUCAAGAACCGCCAGCUGCCUCUGCUCCCGCGGCCGCCGCUCCAACCGACAAGCCAAUCACAGAAACUUCUGCUAACCCAGAGACCUCCAGCCUGGCUCACCCGGCCGAUGACCCGGACGUGGUAAUCACCCGGACGGAGUUUGUUGAGCCGGGGAGACCCACUGCACUGGCCAAGUGCUCCGCCAAAGAAGAGCUGCUAGGGCGCCGCCGGGCCAAUCUAGACCUCACCGACUAUGCCAAUCUGAGCAUCGGAGAGAUCGUCUCCGGGUAUGUCAAUCAGGUGCACAAGAGCCGGGACCUAGAGAUCGACAUGGUGAAUCAGAUUCAACAGAAAUCUGAGGUACCCCUCUUCUUGCUUACUGCAUAGUUAUCUUUACCAUACUAGCCCCCAAGUCGACGACUUAUGAUUGAAUAUGUUGUAGACUUAAGUUCCGGGUUACUUCCAUGAACCGGUAAUUUGUAGAUAGAAACAUUCGAUAUGCAUUAGCCCCCAAGUGCCAAGUGUCUUUGCUUGGAAAACGCUUGGGACUUUAAAUUUGCAUAGUAACUGUUCAUACUAUAACCCGGAAAUUAUGCAGGCUGCUUGCAAGAAGUUUGAGGCUGACAUCUCCGAUCUGAAGACCCGCCUGAGGACGCAAGAAACUGAGACCCGGAAGGCCAAUGCCAAAAUUUUGUCCAGUAUUGUUGCGCAAGAAAAGCUGAAGACGGACUUUGACGCUGAACGGAAAGCUUGGGCCAAAGAAAAGGCUACUCUGGUGAACCGGGCCGAACAGGCGGAGAAGGCUCUGACAGAGAAGACCGCCGAACUCUCCGACUUAAAGCGCCAAGUGUCCCAGAUGGUUGCCACAAUCUUCGGUAAGUCAUUUCACCGGCUUUCAUUAAGUUUAUAAUCUUUAUAUCUCAUAACUCACCAUUGCCAGCGGCUUAUCUUACUCUGUUAAACAGGUCCCAGAAGCGCCAACCUCAACCAAAGUGUGGUGACCAAGCUGAAGGCCGUGUACACCCUGGUGGAGCAACUCUACACCGGGUCACAGCGCGCCUUGGCUGUGGUGGCCCUAUCCAAUGAGGUGCCGACUCACCUGGCGGAAGUGCUUCGCCGGCUUGUCGUUCUUCCCCAGCGUGUCCAGGAGCUGCGACGGGCCUCCGCAAGAGCCGGAGCCAUAGCUGCUCUGAGCCGGGCCAAGGCGUUCCUUCCAGAAUUAGACCCGGCGGACAUUGCCCUUGGCUAUCCCAGCUUGAAGGAAGACGGAACCGCCUUCGACCAAAAGGACUUCGCAGCCUGCGUGAAGAUCGUACGCCCGGUGGCCACUCUGAUUGGAAAUGACACGGAUCUGACCAAGUACCAACUGGGUUACGAUGCCGAGAAUCAGACGAUCCCCACUCCGCGCUAUGAAGCCCUCAGCUUAGUCCCGCCGACUCGUAAGCACACCUUUGCCCCGGAAAUUGACCAGGCCGGGUUAAUUGACGAGGAAGGUCAAUUUGAAGCUCUGAGCGGCAUUGACUGGAAGUCGUCAACUUUCCAGGUCUUGGGAACAGCCGGAGGAGCGGAGAGGGAUGAGCCGGAAACCUCAACCCAGCAAGCGUCGUAACUCUGUAGGCGGUUUAUGUGAAAUAAUGCUUCACCCUUUUGGACUCAAUGAGUCUUGUAAUAGAAUAGGAUCAACACUUUAACUGUGCCGUGCCAUCGUGCACGUGUUGAAUGCUGAAUUCUAUGAAAGUUGCUUCCUUAUAUGUCUCCGGGUCAUAGUUGAUCAGUCAUGUUCCUUAAGCUUAAAUAGUUGUCUUUAACUAUCCUGCAUAGAAAGACAAAUCACAAGUCUCGAGGCGGCUUACCGCACGGAGAAUCAUAGUCUUAUGCAUAUAACCCGGAACAUGAAUCACAAAAGACUGGUCCUCAAUUAUAUCCUUGACAUAACCGUAACAACACACUUACCAGCCUGCAAGCACACUUCCGGCUUAAAUAACCCGGGCAAUAAGGUUGGUACCUCAAUUCCAAUUUACCAGUCUUAAUAACGCCGAUUGUAUUCGACUAGCACUGUAAAUCAAAGUUAAGCCGGCAAAGUGAGACCCGCCGUGCAUACUUGAAAUAAUCAGAAGAACUCGCUAUAAAUCAGAAAAACUUAGGGGCUUCUGGUUCGAAUACGACCAGAGACCCGUCCCAAAGGGGUUAUGCUAGGAUUCGAAUGUGAUCAUAUAGCCCCCAGUGGGUGUGGCGAUGCCAAUCAAGAGGGUACCGACAGCUAUGUUCUCUUUGGUUCGAAUACGACCUAUGUUUGAACAGGAAGCCCCCAAAUGACUUUAAGAAUUGUUUAACGACGCUGAUUCGAAUACGAUCCACGUCGGUUCCCAAAGGGGGUUGAACUAUGAUUCAGAUAUGAUCAAAGAAAACUCCUCAAUGAGCUCGGCACUUUGCCAAUCAAAUGGGUAUCGACAACUAUGUUCUCUUUGGUUCGAAUACGACCUAUGUUUGAACAGGAAGCCCCCAAGUGACCUUAUUGCCUACGGCUAGAUUCAAAUACGAUCAUAAGCCGGAUUCUCCUUCAAUUUAUCAUGUGAUCUUGCCAUGGAAACAACACGUUCACAUUUGUAGGAGAAAAAAGGACAGAGGGGUCGAGUGGAUCCUGUCCCAGCUGUAAGAGUACGCCUCUUGCUGCGCCAGUGCUGUCUAAAGGAGUUCCCUGACCCGGCGGGUUUCAAUAGCCGUCGGAGAGUCGCCGUCAAUUGGGAGGGCCGCCAGCUGUGCUGCUGCGGCGACCAUGUUCUCCAGCGGGUUAGCAUAAUGACCCGGUGGUAUUGGCACAUACUGAGGCGGGGCAGGGUCCACUCGGGGAGGCCCCAUCACUUGUGGCUGAACAGGGGGCCCAGACCCGGGCACUAUGAUCCCUGGCGGGUUACUAGACCCUGCACCUGGCGUGUUGAAGAGGUUUCGAGGAUCAUAAACCGGAGGGAGUCGAGAUUGGGCCUUUUGAUGCCUCCUCCGCAUGACCUCAUUGGACGCGUUCUGAUCCAUCGUGAGCCGGAAGGACUGCGCCUGGAUCAACUAAGUUUGGGCGUCGAGAGCCGCCCUCUCCGCAGCCAUCCUGAUCCCUUCCGCUGCCAGGUCCUCUUUGGCCUUCACUAGAUCUAACUUUAACUGCGCCACCUCCGCAUCAUGCUGAGCUUGAUCCGCCGGGUCAACCACGACGGUCAACAGGACCGUCAUUUUGUCCGUGAGAUCCAUCAGCACCUGAGCCGGCGAGGGCACCGGGUUUCCCGCCCCAGCCGCAGGGUUCUGAACAGGCUGCGCACCGGCCAUGAAGAUUCCAACCCGGCUCGGCGGCUCAAACGGGUCUAGAAUACUGUCACCGUCGGAACAACCCAUGAGCCUGCCAUCUUGAAGUUGAUACAACGAGUUUGACUCAUCUGUGGACGACUCGCCGUCAGAGCCGGCGGUCGUCUCAUCACCAGAUCCAGAUCCAUCAGGGAGUCCUCCAUGGAUACAUCCCACAAAAGCAUGCUUCAAGGCAGGCAGGGCCCGGGCGGGUCGUGCGCGCUGAGCCGUCUCGACGAGAUCGGCGCAGAGAUCCGGCUCAGGGCCCGGCUCACCAAUCUUGCCAAUGAAAACAUGAAUUCCGCCGAAGGGGACCCGGUAUCCAUACUUGAUUGAGCCGGCAUCGGGGCCCCAGCUUGCAUCGUCGAUGUAGAGCUUGCCGCGACGACUCUUGGUCAUCCGGCCCACAGCGUAUCCCUUGAGCCCUUCGAAGCUGCCCUUCAAGAACUCAAAUCCACCGUGCGUUGGCCCCACGGUGGGCGCCAACUGUCGUGGAAUUGUCACGGCAGAUGUCCUCAAGCUAGGACUUGCCAUCGCCGCUAGGAAGGUUGAAGGGGUUAACGGGACAAGGAACACGAGGGCUUAUACUGGUUCGGCCCCUUACGGUGAAGGUAAAAGCCUACGUCCAGUUGAGGUGGUAUUGAUUAGGGUUUCGAUGACCAGGGAGCUUAACUGCUAUGCCUGGCUCUCGAUGAGAUCUUUCUUGCCCCUAAACCGCUGCCGGGUCGUCCCUUUAUAUAGGGAGGCUGACGCCCAGCAGCUCUCAGAGUCCCAGCCGGCUCAUAAGAGUGUCCGGCUCGGACUCUCAACUAUUCUUGCCUUACACAACAAGUUCUACCAUAAUGAUGAUUGUAACUACGGGCCUUAAGCAAUAUCCGGGUCUUAAGCCCAUCUUUGGCCCACCGUCUUCAAGCUUGGCGCCGGGCUUCUGGCGAUGACCACUAUGAGUAACCCGGCCCCUCCCGGCGGGUGACUCUAAGGUCUAUAUCCUCAAAAAGGCUCAAUUCGAGGCUUUGAGCGGCAUUGAUUGGAAAUCAUCAACCUUCCAGGUCAUGGAAUCAGCCGGAGGAGCGGAGAGGGAUGAGCCGGAGGCUUCAACUCAACAAGCAUCUUGACUUGUAGGCGGCUCAUGGCUACACCUUAAAACAAUGCCUCAUCUUUUGGACUCGGGGAGUCUUGUAAUAGAGUAGGACAAAUACUUAAUUUUGUCGUGCCAUCGUGCACGUGUUGAAUGCUUAACUCCAUUGAAACUGCUUCUUCUUAUUCCUCCGGGUUAUAAUUGAUCAGUUAUUUUCCUUAAGCCCGAAUAGCUGUAUUGAACCAUCCUGCAUAGAAAACAAGUCACAAGUCUCUAGGCGGCUUACCGCACUGAGAAUCAUAAACCUUAUAUAUAUAACCCGGAAUAUGAACAAAGUCACCAAAGACUGGCCCUCAAUUAUAUCUUUGAUGUAACCAUAACAGCAUACUUACAAGCCUUCAAGUAUACUUCCGGUUCAUGUAACCCGAAUAAUGUGGUUAAAAUCUCAACGCCGGUUCACCAGUAUCGAUAAGGCUUAUUGCGUGUUACCAAAAUUAAGCCGGCGGAGCCAAAAACCGCCCUUGCACACUGCUGAUGUGACCAAAAGAACUUGUUGUAAGUCAGAAGAUCAAAACUUAGGGGCUUCCGGUUCGAAUACGACCAGAGAACCAUCCCAAAGGGGUUAAGCUAAGAUUCGAAUGCGAUCAUAUAGCCCCCAGUGGCUUUGGCGAUGCCGAUUAAGAGGGUACCGACAGCUAUGUUCUCUUUGGUUCGAAUACGACCCAUGUUUGAACAGGAAGCCCCCAAAUGACCUUAAGAGUUGUUUAACGAUGCUGAUUCGAAUACGAUCCACGUCGGUUCCCAAAGGGGGUUGAGCUAUGAUUCAAAUAUGAUCAAAGAAAACUCCCCAAUGAGCUCGGCAAUUUGCCAAUCAAGUGGGUAUCGACAGCUAUGUUCUCUUUGGUUCGAAUACGACCUAUGUUUGAACAGGAAGCCCCCAAGUGAUCAUAUUGUUUACGGCUAGAUUCGAAUACGAUCAUAAGCCGGAUCCACCUCCACGUGACCAUGUGAUGUUGUAAUGGAAAUAACACGUUUUACCUUUGGAGGAGAAAAGGACAGAGGUCCUGCUUUAUUAUUUAUCAUAAUAUAUACAUGGCUAUGGAAAUAUGUACAUUAUGAGAGCCGGUGGCUCAAGUGUAAUAAGGCCGAAGUUGAGCUAUGUUCCACGGCCGACGGGUCUCUUCCUCCGACUUACGUGAAUCCUUGUGCUCCCGAACGUCGAUAAGGUAGUAUGAACCGUUGUGCAAGUUCUUGCUGACCACAAAGGGCCCUUCCCAAUGCGGGGAUAACUUAUGUGCAUCUGCCUGGUCUUGGAUGAGCCGGAGCACCAGAUCACCUUCCUGGAAGACCCGAGACAUAACCCGGCGGCUGUGAUAACGGCGCAGGUCUUGUUGGUAAAUCGCCGAGCGAGCUGCUGCCACAUCACGAUGUUCAUCUAACAAGUCAAGAGCAUCUUGGCGCGCCCGCUCAUUAUCCGCCUCAACAUAAGCCGCCACUCGAGGCGAGUCAUGACGGAUGUCACUGGGGAGGACUGCUUCCGCUCCAUAAACCAUGAAGAAAGGCGUGUAACCCGUAGACCUGUUAGGAGUAGUAUUGAUGCUCCAUAACAUGGAGGGUAACUCCUCCACCCAACAACCCGGCGUCCGUUGCAAAGGGACCAAAAUCCGGGGCUUGAUGCCCUUCAAGAUCUCCUGAUUAGCUUUCUCAGCUUGACCAUUGGAUUGAGGUGAGCCACGGAUGAAACAUCAAGUCGAAUAUGCUCUCGUUGACAAAACUCCUCCAUGGCGCCCUUAGACAGAUUGGUACCAUUGUCAGUUAUAAUGCUGUGUGGAAAACCAAAGCGAAAUAUCACCCUUUUCAUGAACUGAACAGCAGUGGCCGCGUCACACUUGCUAACUAGCUCCGCCUCAACCCACUUUGUGAACUUGUCAACUGCCACCAAGAGGUGGGUCUUCUUAUCCUUGGACCUUUUAAAAGGCCCGGCCAUAUCAAGCCCCAAUACCACAAAUGGCCAAGUAAUUGGAAUCAUCCUUAGCUCCUUUGCCGGCACAUGAGCCUGUCGCGAGAACCUCUGGCAACCAUCACAUUUACUGACCAAGUCUUCCGCAUCAGCGUGAGCCGUCAGCCAAUAAAAACCAUGACGAAAAGCCUUGGCCACAAGGGAUUUUGAGCUGGCAUGAUGGCCACAAUCCCCCUCGUGAAUCUCACGCAAAAUAUCUUGGCCUUCCUCAGGGGAAACACAACGCUGGAAAGUUCCAGUGACACUGCGGCGAUGUAGCUCACCAUUGAUAAUUAUCUUUGACUUAGACCGUCGGGUUAUUUGUCUGGCCAAAGUUUCAUCCUCAGGUAAAUCUCCCCGGGUCAUGUAAGCCAAGUAUGGUACUGUCCAAUCUGGGGUGAUGUGGAGAGCCGCCACCAACUGUGCUUCCGGGUCAGGGACAGCCAAGUCUUCCUCUGUAGGCAACUUAACAGAAGGGUUAUGCAAGAUGUCCAAGAAGGUAUUAGGCGGCACCGGUUUUCGCUGAGAGCCCAGCCGGCUUAAUGCGUCAGCCGCCUCGUUCUUCCUGCGAUCGAUGUGCUCUACUUGGUAACCCUGGAAGUGUCCAGCAACGGCAUCAACUUCACGGUGAUAAGCCGCCAUGAGAGGGUCCUUGGAAUCCCACUUACCUGAUACUUGUUGAGCCACUAGAUCUGAGUCACCCAAACACCUUACUCUGCUCAAGCUCAUCUCCUUAGUCACCCGAAGACCAUGGAGCAAAGCCUCGUACUCAGCCGCAUUGUUAGUGCAUGGAAACAUCAACCGUAGCACAUAACAAAACUUGUCACCUUUAGGGGAAGUCAACACAACUCCAGCCCCCGAGCCCUCCAAUUUCCUAGACCCAUCAAAGUGAAUAGUCCAAUAGGUAUUAUCCGGCUUUUCUUCAGGCACCUGCAGCUCUGUCCAAUCGUUGAUGAAAUCCACCAAAGCUUGAGAUUUAACAGCAGUGCGCGGUACGUAUUUCAGGCCAUGAGGCCCAAGCUCUAUAGCCCACUUAGCCACUCUUCCCGUGGCUUCUCUGUUUUGGAUGGUAUCUCCAAGGGGAGCAGAACUAACCACAGUGAUGGGGUGACCCUGGAAAUAAUACUUAAGCUUCCGGCUUGCCAUGAACACACCGUAAACAAGCUUCUGCCAAUGGGGAUACCGCUGUUUAGACUCGAUGAGCACUUCACUGACGUAGUAAACCGGCCGCUGAACCGGGUACUCCUUACCCUCUUCCUUGCGCUCCACCACCACAGCCACACUGACGGCUCGUGUGUUAUCAGCUACAUACAGUAAUAAGGGCUCCUUGUCAACCGGAGCAGCAAGGACUGGGGGCUCAGCCAGCUGUCUCUUCAAAUCCUCAAAAGCAGUAUUAGCAGCAUUAUUCCAGACAAAAUCAUCAGUUUUCUUCAUCAACUGGUACAGUGGCAUGGCCUUUUCACCCAAAUGGCUUAUAAACCGGCUCAAGGCAGCGAUGCGGCCUGCUAGACGCUGGACGUCGUUGAUACAUGCCGGCUUAGCCAGAGAGGUGAUUGCCUUUAUCUUUUCCAGGUUAGCUUUAAUGCCUCUGUUAGAAACCAGGAAACCCAAGAGCUUGUCUGCAGGAACACCAAAAACACACUUGGCCGGGUUAAGCAUCAUCUUGUAAACCCGGAGAUUAUCAAAGGUUUCUCUAAGGUAAUCUACCAGGGUCUCCUUCUCCCUGGACUUAACCACGAUAUUAUCCACAUAGGCAUGCACAUUGCGCCCAAUCUGGUUAUGAAGACAAUUCUGCACACAACGCUGAUAAGUCGCCUCUGCACUCUUGAGUCCAAAAUGCAUAGACACAUAAUAGAAGGCUCCAAAGGGAGUGAUGAACACCGUCUUCUCCUGGUCCUUAACUGCCAUUUUAAUCUGAUGGUAUCCAGAAUAAGCAUCCAAGAAACUUAAGCGUUCACAACCCGCCGUAGCAUCAAUGAUUUGAUCAAUACGGGGGAGAGCAAAAGGAUCAGCCGGACACGCCUUGUUUAAGUCCGUGUAGUCCACACACAUCCGCCAGGUGCCAUUCUUCUUGAGCACGAGCACCGGGUUAGCUAACCAUUCUGGAUGAAAGACUUCGACAAUAAACCCGGCCGCUAAGAGCCGGGCCACCUCCUCACCAAUGGCUUUCCGCCUCUCCUCAUUAAACCGCCGAAGGAAUUGCCUGACCGGCUUAAAUUUCGGAUCAAUAUUGAGAGUGUGCUCAGCGAGUUCUCUAGGUACACCUGGCAUGUCAGAAGGUUUCCAUGCAAAAAUGUCCCUAUUCUCACGGAUGAACUCGAUGAGCGCGCUUUCCUAUUUUGGAUCCAGAUUGGCGCUGAUGCUAAACUGCUGAGAUGAGUCACCUGGAACGAAAUCAACAAGUUUAGUCUCAUCAGCUGACUUAAAUUGCAUUGCCGGCUCAUGCUCCGUGGUCGGCUUUUUUAGAGAUGUCAUAUCUGUUGGGUCAACAUUAUCCUUGUAAAACUUCAGCUCCUCUGUUUCACAAACAGAUUCUGCAUAAGCCGCGUCACCUUCCUCACACUCCAAGGCUAUCUUUCGGCUACCAUGAACCGUAAUGGUCCCAUUGUGACCCGGUAUCUUGAGCUGUAAGUAUACGUAACACGGCCGUGCCAUGAACUUGGCGUAAGCCGGCCGCCCAAAUAUGGCAUGAUACGGACUUCUUAUCUUGACCACCUCAAAGGUCAAUUUUUCCACCCUGUAGUUGUAUUCAUCUCCAAAGGCCACUUCCAAUUCGAUCUUACCAACUGGAUAAGCCGACUUACCAGGCACCACACCAUGGAAAACAGUAUUGGACUGGCUGAGGUUCUUAUCAAUCAACCCCAUACGACGGAAGGUCUCAUAAUAGAGGAUGUUGAUGCUGCUGCCUCCAUCCAUGAGCACCUUAGUGAACUUAUAUCCUCCCACCUGAGGAGCCACUACCAGGGCCAAGUGACCCGGAUUAUCAACCCGGGGAGGGUGAUCCUCCCUACUCCACACAAUAGGCUGCUCAGACCAUCUUAAAUAACGUGGAACCGCCGGCUCAACAGCAUUCACAUCCCUUUUAUGAAGCUUCUGAUCUCGCUUACACAGACUGGUGGUAAACACAUGAUACUGUCCACCAUUGAGCUGCUUUGGAUUGGUCUGGUAUCCCCCCUGUUGUUGUUGAUGACCCUGGCCGGACUGCUGAUUAAAGCCCCCUUGAACAUUCUGAGGAUUGGAAUUUGAGCCGCCGCCGGCGCCUGAGCCGCCGCCCGAGCCAUUGUUGCCAUUAAAGGCAUUGGAAUUCUUAAAGGCCUUCAUGAUUGUGCAAUCUUUCCAUAGAUGAGUAGCUGGCUUCUCGCUAGAGCCAUGCCUUGGACAAGGCUCAUUCAACAACUGCUCAAGCGUUGGGCCUGAACCGCCGGCUCGGGGAGGUGGCCUCCCUUUACGUCGCUGGUUGUUACCCUGUGAGCUGGCAUUGGCCACAAACUCCAUGCUGCCAUCAGCCUUACGCUUGUUACCUCCUUGGUUCGCCGGGUUAUGCUGAGGACCCUUGCCAUUGCCGUUCUUCUUUCCCUUCCCUGUCCUUUCAUCAUCUGACGCGGGGUCCUUGGUACUAUCAGAAUCGGCGUACUUGACGAGAGCCGCCAUCAGCGUACCCAUAUCAUUGCAAUCGCGCUUGAGCCGCCCAAGUUUCAUCUUCAGGGGCAGGAAACGACAAUUCUGCUCCAACAUUAAGACUGCAGAGCCGGCAUCCAUCUUAUCAGAUGAAUGUAUUAUCUCUUUGACCCGGCGAACCCAAUGUGUCGUAGACUCACCCUCCUGCUGUUUACAGUUAGUCAAAUCCACAAUUGACAUAGACUGCCUACAGGUAUCUUUGAAGUUUUGGAUGAACCAGGCUUUUAGCUCAGCCCAAGACCCGAUAGAAUUCGGCGGCAGCCCUUUCAGCCAAGUGCGGGCAGUCCCAUCUAACAUCAUGGUGAAGUACUUGGCCAUCGCCGCUUCGCUGACCUCCAGCAAUUCCAUGGCCAUCUCGUAACUCUCAAUCCAGGCUCCGGGUCGUAAAUCAGCCGUGUAAUUAGGCACCUUCCUAGGCCCUUUGAAGUCCUUGGGUAGACGUUCAUUGCGGAGAGCCGGCACUAAACAAGGGACACCUCCAGUCCUCGUAGGGAUACCCACGUCAACGGAAGCCGUCGGAUAAGCCGGGGGUGUCUGGUAAGCCGUCAACUGAGGCACCUGCUCCGCCUCUCGCCGUGCUCUGUCUUGGUCUGCUGCGUGAAAGGCCCCGUUAUGAGCCGGGCCGUGGCCAGGUGGCAAGUCAUGGCGUCAGACAUUACUUGAGCCGGUCGCUGAGACCAUAUGUCUGCUAUAACUCGGGCUCCGGCCUGGACGAGGGGUUGAAUGGAUCCUGUCCCGGCUAUAAGAGUACGCCUCUUGCUGCGCCAGAGCUGUCUGAAGGAGUUCUCUGACCCGGCGGGUUUCAAUCGCCGUUGGAGAGUCGCCAUCAAUUGGGAGAGCCGCCAGCCGUGCCGCCGCCGCGACCAUGUUUUCCAACGGGUUGGCAUAAUGACCCGGUGGUAUUGGCACGUACUGAGGCGGGGCAGGGUUCACCCGGGGAGGUCCCAUCACUUGGGGCUGAAUUGGUGUCCCAGCCCCGGGCACUAUGAUCUCCGGCGGGUUACUAGACCCUGCACCCGGCGUGUUGAAGAGGUUUCUAGGAUCGUAAACCGGAGGGAGUCGAGAUUGGGCCUUUUGAUGCCUCCUUCUCAUGACCUCAUUGGAUGCGUUUUGGUCCAUCGUGAGCCGGAAAGACUGUGCCUGAAUCAGCUGAGUCUGGGCGUCGAGAGCCACCCUCUCCGCAGCCAUCCUGAUCCAUUCCGCCGCCAGAUCCUCCUUGGCUUUUGCCAGAUCCAACUUUAGCUGCGCCACCUCCGCGUCAUGCUGAGCUUGAUCCGCCGGAGCCACCGUAGCGGUCAGCAAAGCCGUCAUUUUGUCUGUGAGAUCCAUCAGCACCUGAGCCGGCGAGGGCACAGGGCUUCCUGACCCGGUGGCGGGGUUUUGAACAGGUUGUGCGCCGGCCAUAAAGAUUCCAACCCGGCUUGGCGGCUCAAAGGGGUCCGGAAUACUGUCGCCAUCGGAACAGCCCCUGAGCCUGCCAUCUUGAAGUUGAUACAACGAGUUUGACUCAUCUGUGGACGACUCGCCGUCAGAGCCGGCGGUCGUCUCAUCACCAGAUCCAGAUCCAUCAGGGAGUCCUCCAUGGAUACAUCCCACAAAAGCAUGCUUCAAGGCAGGCAGGGCCCGGGCGGGUCGUGCGCGCUGAGCCGUCUCGACGAGAUCGGCGCAGAGAUCCGGCUCAGGGCCCGGCUCACCAAUCUUGCCAAUGAAAACAUGAAUUCCGCCGAAGGGGACCCGGUAUCCAUACUUGAUUGAGCCGGCAUCGGGGCCCCAGCUUGCAUCGUCGAUGUAGAGCUUGCCGCGACGACUCUUGGUCAUCCGGCCCACAGCGUAUCCCUUGAGCCCUUCGAAGCUGCCCUUCAAGAACUCAAAUCCACCGUGCGUUGGCCCCACGGUGGGCGCCAACUGUCGUGGAAUUGUCACGGCAGAUGUCCUCGUGCAAGGACUUAGUCGUGGAGCCAUCGCAGCUAGGAAGCUUAAAGGGGUUAAACGGGACAAGGAACACGAGGGUUAUACUGGUUCGGCCCCUUACGGUGAAGGUAAAAGCCUAUGUCCAGUUGAGGUGGUAUUGAUUAGGGUUUCGAUGACCAGGAGCUAAACCGCCCUGCCUGGUUUCGGUCUUCUCUUUUCUGCCCCUAAACCGCCGCCGGGUCAUCCCUUUAUAUAGAGAGGUUGACGCCCAGCGGCUCUCAGAGUCCCGUCCGGCUCAUAACACUGUCCGGCUCGGACUCUUAACUAUUCUUGCCUUACCCUACAAGUCUUGCCAUACGGCAGUUUACCACUACGGGCCUUAAGCCACCUCCGGGUCUUAAGCCCAUUAUCUAACCCGCCGUCUUCAAGCUUGGUACUGGGCUUCGCAUGAUGACCAUUAUGAGUAACCCGGCCCUUCCUGGGCGGGUGAUUCCAAUGGUUAUAUUCUCAACAGGCGGCGACCGGCGAACGGCGGCAGGGUCGGCGAUGGCGUCGGCGGUCGGCGGCGGGGACGGCGCGGGCCNNNNNNNNNNNNNNNNNNNNNNNNNNNNNNNNNNNNNNNNNNNNNNNNNNNNNNNNNNNNNNNNNNNNNNNNNNNNNNNNNNNNNNNNNNNNNNNNNNNNNNNNNNNNNNNNNNNNNNNNNNNNNNNNNNNNNNNNNNNNNNNNNNNNNNNNNNNNNNNNNNNNNNNNNNNNNNNNNNNNNNNNNNNNNNNNNNNNNNNNNNNNNNNNNNNNNNNNNNNNNNNNNNNNNNNNNNNNNNNNNNNNNNNNNNNNNNNNNNNNCGGCGGAGGAGCAACGGGAGGGACACGUGGCAGCGGGCGAUUGGGCGAGGGGCGGCGGCGGACGUGUCCGGCGGCUGAGGAAGAAGCGUCCGGCGGCGCGGAGGGGAAAUGAUCUAGGGUUUCGCCCGAAUUUCGGAGGGGGGGUGUUUAUAUAGGCAUAGGGAGCUAGGAGGCUCCAAAUGGAGUGUGGUUUUCGCCCACACGAUCGUGAUCGAACGACCUAGAGCAUGGAAGUGACUUAGAUGGGAUUUGGGCUGUUUGGAGGGGGGUUUUUCUGCAACACACAAAAGGACUUUGCGGUUACCCGGUUAACCGUUGGAGCAUCAAACGACCUCCAAAUGGAACGAAACUUGACAGGUGGUCUACCGCUGGUAUACCAAGGUCACUUGACAAGACUCGGUCCAUUCCAAGAACGUUCAACACCCGCUCACGAAAAGAAACAAAAAGAGGUGCGCCGGAGGAGGUGGGAGUGCCGGAUUGCAAAACGGACAACGGGGAAAAUGCUCGGAUGCAUGAGACGAACACGUAUGCAAAUGAGAUGCACAUGAUGACAUGAUAUGAGAUGCAUGACAUGAACAAAAUGCAAAACGAAAAACAAAACCCGACCACGAAGGGAAUAUCAUAACACAUAGCCGAAAAUGGCAAGAGUUGGAGUUACAAAUAUGGGAAGGUUACAUCCGGGGUGUUACAACACUCCACCACUACGAGGGGAUCUCGUCCCGAGAUCUAGGACUGAAAGAACUCCGGAUAUUCGGAACGGAGGUGGUCCUCGCGCUCCCAGGUGGCUUCUCGGUCGGAAUGGUGCGACCACUUCACUUUUAUGAAUUUAAUUGACUUGUUGCGAGUCUUGCGCUCAGUUUCUUCAAGAAUAGCAAUGGGGUGCUCAUGAUAAGACAGAUCUUCUUGGAGGUCAAUCUCUUCGAAGUUGAUGGUGCGUUCAGGAGUCUUGAAGCACUUCCGGAGCUGUGACACGUGGAACACAUCGUGCACGUUCGCGAAGUUGGAGGGAAGCUCAAGUUGAUAGGCGAGGUCGCCUCUUUUGCCAAUGAUCUUGAAAGGACCCACGUAUCUAGGGGCAAGCUUCCCUUUGAUACCGAAUCGACGAGUGCCUUUCAUUGGAGAGACGCGGAGGUAGACAUGGUCUCCGAUCUCGAAAGCCACAUCACGGUGCUUACUAUCAUAAACUCUUCUGGCGCGAUUGCGCGGCUUUGAGAUUUUCACGGAUGACUUUACACAUUUCUUCAGCCUCUGUGAUUAAGUCAUUGCCAAGAAGUUGGCGUUCACCAGUCUCUGACCAAUUGAGAGGAGUACGGCACUUUCUGCCAUAAAGAAUCUCCAAUGGGGCCUUGCCCGAACUCGCUUGGAAGCUGUUGUUGUAGGUCGGCAUAUGGAAGACAAUCUUCCCAUUUCAUGCCAAAGGAAAUGACACAAGCCCUGAGCAUAUCUUCAAGAAUUUGAUUGACUCGCUCGACUUGGCCACUAGUUUGAGGAUGGAAAGCUGUGCUGAAGCGAAUGUUGGUGCCCAUGGCCUUCUGGAAGGAGUCCCAGAACUUAGAAGUGAAGAUGCUUCCACGAUCUGAAGAAAUCAAUUGUGGAAUGUUGUGCAAGGAGACAAUCA